CCCAAACCGCUAAAAAACCAUAAAGGCCCACACUAGGCCACUCCCCAGCCUGUUUGGGGAAGCCCGAUCGAUUUUUAGCUAAAAUCAUGCUCGGACCUCGAGCCCACCCAAAAAACAUGGGCUAUAGCAUACUGAUUUAGCCCAAAAAUGGCCCGUUCGCGCCGUUUCACCCGUUUACCACCCAAAUCAUCUAACAAACCAUAAAGGCCCACACUAGGCCGUUUCUCAGCCUGUUUGGGGCAGCCUGGUCAAUUUUUGGCCAAAAUCACCCCUGAUCCUCGAGGCCACCCCAAAAAAUAUUGGCUGUAGCACACCGAUUUGGCUCGAAAAUAGUCUUUUCGUGCCGCUUUGCCUAUUUGACCACCCAAACCACCCAAAAAACUACAAAGGCCCACACUAGGCCGCUCCCUAGCCUGUUUGUGCUGCCCGAUUGAUUUUUGGCCAAAAUCACAUUCGGCUCCCCGAUCCAACUUAAAAACCAUGAGAUAUAGCACAUCGAUUUAGUUUGAAAUUCGGCCGUUCGCGCCUUUUCGCCUGUUUGAUCAGCCAAACCGCCAAAAAAUCCACAAAGUCCCACACUAGGCCGCUCUUUAGCCUGUUUGGGGCAGCCCGAUCACUUUUUGGCUAAAAUCAUGCCCGACCCCCGGCCCACCCCAAAAAUUGUGGGCUAUUAUAGCACACCGAAUUGGCUAAAAAAUGGUACCUUUUUUUAGUUUUGCCCGUUUGACCACCCAAACCACCCAAAAAAUCACAAAUGCCCACACCAGGCCGCUCCCUAGCUUGUUUGGGCAGCCCGGUUAUUUUUUGUUAAAUCACGUCUGGCCUCGGAUGCAACCCAAAGAUCGUGGGCUAUAGCACACCGGUUUGACCUAAAAAUGGUCCGUUCGCGCUAUUUCGCCCGUUUGACCACCUAAACUGCCAAAAAAAAUCACAAACGCCCAAACAAGGCCGCUCCCCAUCUUGUUUGGGUAGCUCGAUCAAUUUUUUGCCUAAAUCAUGCCCGUCCCCCGGGCCCACCCCAAAAACCAUUGGCUAUAGCACACCGAUUUGGCCCAAAAAUAGCCUGUUCGCACUGUUUUGCCCGUUUAAUCACCCAAAUAGCCCAAAAAAUCACAAAGGCCCACACUAGGCCAGUCCUCAGUCUUUUUAGGAUAGCCCGGUGGAUUUUCUGACAAAAUCACGCCCGAUCCCCGGGACCACCCCAAAAACCGUGGGCUUAUAGCACACUAAUUUGGCCCAAAAAUGACCUAUUCAUGUCGAUCCCCAGCCUGUUUGGGGCAACCAAGUUGAUUUUUGUCCAAAAUCAUAUUUGGACCCCGGGACCAUCCCAAAAACCGUGGGCUAUAGUACAUCGAUUUGGCCUAAAAAUGGCCCGUUCGCGUCGUUUCACUUGUUUGACCACCCAAACCGCACAAAAAACCAUAAAGACCCACACUAAGCCGCUCCUCAGCCAGUUUGGGGCAUGCCGAUCAAUUAAUGGCCAAAAUCACGCCCGAACCCUGGACCCACCCCAAAAUGCGUAGGCUUAUAGCAAACCAAUUUGGCCCGUUCACGCCGUUUCUCCCAUUUGACCAUCCAAACCGUCCAAAAAAAUAUAAAGGCCCAUACUAGGCUGCUCCCCAGCUUGUUUGGGGCAGCCCAGUGGAUUUUUGGCCAAAACAAUGCCCGACCACCGAACACACCCCAAAAAGCGUGGGCUAUAGCAGACCGAUUUGGUCCGAAAAUUCCCUGUUUGUGUCGUUUCGCCCGUUUAUCCACCCAAAUGGCCACAAAAAUUCAAACGGACCACACUGGGAUGAUCCCCAACUUCCCUGGCAUGCCCAAGUUGAUUUUGGGCCCACAGCAUAUCCAGAACCCGGGCCCAACCCUGAAACCGUAGGCUAUAGCACACCGAUUUGGCCCAAAAAUGCCUUGUUCACGUCGUUUCGCCCAUUUAUCCACCCAAAUAGCCAUAAAAAUUUAAACGGACCAUUCUGUGACGAUCCCAACCUCCCUGACAUACUACGGUUGAUUUUCAGCUCACAGCACACCCGAACCUUGGGCCCACCUCUAAAACCAUGGGCUACAACACACUGAUUUGGCCCGAAAAUGCCCCAUUCGCUCUGUUUUGCCCGUUUGUCCACCCAAAUGGCCAUGAAAAUUUAAACGAACCAUACUGGGAUGAUUCCCAACCUCCCUGGCAUGCUACGAUCGAUUUUUGGCCCAUAGAACGCCUGAACCCCAGCCCACCCCUAAAAUCAUGGGCUUAGCACACCAAUUUGGCCCGAAAAUGCCCCAUUCGCGUUGUUUUGCCUGUUUGUCCACCCAAAUGGCCACAAAAAUUUUAACGAAUGACUCUGGGAUGAUCUCUAACCUCCCUGGCAUGACCCGAUCAAUUUUUGACCGACAGCAUGCCAUACUCCAGGCCCACCCCUGAAACCGUAGGCUAUAACAAACUGAUUUGGCCUGAAAAUACCUCGUUCGCGCUGUUUCGCCCGUUUGUCAACCCAAAUGGCCACAAAAAUUUAAAUGAACCACACUGGGACAAUCCCCAACCUCCUUGGCAUUCCCCGAUCAAUUUUCAGCCCACAACAUACCUGGAUCCUGAGCCCACCCCCGAAAUCGUGGGCUAUAGCAUAUCGAUUUGGCUCUAAAAUGCCCCGUUUAUGCCGUUUCACCUGUUUAUCCAUCCAAAGGGCCACAACAAUUUAAACAAACCAUAAUGGGAUAAUCCUAAUGUCCCUUGGGUGGACAAACGGGGGAAACGACGCGAAUGAGGCAUUUUCAGGCCAAAUCAGUGUGCUAUAGCCUACGGUUUCAGGGGUGGGCUCGGUGUCUAGGCGUGCUAUUGGUCAAAAAUCAAUUGGGGCGUGCCAGAGAGGUUGGGGAUCAUCCCUGUGUGGUCCGUUUAAUUUUUCAAGUCCAUUUGGAUGGACAAACAGGCAAAACGGUGCGAACGGGGUAUUUUUGGGGUGAAUUGGUUAGCUGUAGCCCAUAAUUUUGGGGAUGGGGCCCGGUGUUCGGGCGUGUAGUGGGUUGAAAACUGACUGGAGUGUGCCAGAGAGGUUGGGGAUCUUCCCAGUAUGAUCCAUUUAAAUUUUCUUGGCCAUUUGGGUGGACAAACAGGCAAAACGGCGUGAACGGGGCAUUUUUGGGCCAAAUCGGUGUGCUAUAGCUCAUGAUUUUGGGGGUGAGCCUGGGGUUCGAGCAUGCUGUGGGUCGAAAAUCGAUCAGAGCGUGCAAGGGAAGUUGGGAAUUAUCCUAGUGUGGUUCGUUUAAUUUUUCUUGGCCAUUUGGGAGGACAAACGGGCAAAACGGCACAAACGAGGCAUUUUUGGGCCAAAUUGGUGUGCUAUAGCCCACGGUUCAGGGGGUGGGAUUGAGGUUCGGGCAUGUUGGGGGUCGAAAAUCAACCGGGGCGUGCCAGGGAAGUUGGGGAUUAUCCCAGUGUGGUCCGUUUAAUUUUUCUUGGCCAUUAGGAUGGACAAAUGGGCGAAAUGGGGCAUUUUUGGGCCAAAUUGGUAUGCUACAGCCCACGGUUUUGGGGGUGGGCAGGGGUCCGAGCGUGCUGUGGGUAAAAAAUCGACCGGGGUGUGCCAGGGAGGAUGGGGUUUAUCCCAGUGUGGCAUAUUUAAUAUUUUGUGGCCAUUUGGGUGGACAAACGGGUGAAACGGCACGAACGGGGCAUUUUUUAACCAAAUCGGUGUGCUAUGGCCCACGGUUUCAGGGGUGGGCCCUGGGUCCGGGCAUGCUGUGGGCCAAAAAUCAACCGGGACGUGCCAGGGAGGUUGGGGAUCAUCCCAAUCUGGUCCGUUUAAUUUUUCGUGGCCAUUUGGGUGGACAAAUGGGCAAAACGGUGUGAACGCGACAUUUUUGGGCCAAAUCGGUGUGCUAUAGCACAUGGUUUUUGGGGUGGGUUUGGAGUCGGGGCGUGCUGUGGGCUAAAAAUUAACCAGGGAGGUUGGGGAUCGUUCUAGUGUGGUUCGUUUAAAUUUUCUUGGCCAUUUGAGUGGACUAACGAGAGAAACAAGGCAUUUUUGGGCCAAAUCGGUAUGCUAUAGCCCAUGGUUUUAGGUGUGGGCCUAGGGUCCAGGCGUGCUGUGGGUUAAAAAUUGAUCGAGGCGUGCCAGGGAGGUUGGGGAUCGUCCCAGUGUAGUCUGUUUAAAGUUUCGUGGCUAUUUGGGUGGACAAAUGGGUGAGCCUGCACGAAUGAGGCAUUUUUGGGCCAAAUCGGUGUGCUAUAGCUUACGAUUUUGGGGGUGAACCCCAGGUCCGGGCGUGCUGUGGGCCGAAAAUAGAUCGGGGUAUGCUAGGGAGGUUGGGGAUCGUCCCAGUCUGGUCCGUUUAAUUUUUCGUGGCCAUUUGGGUGGACAAACUGGCAAAACGGUGUGAACGCCGCAUUUUUGGGCCAAAUCGGCGUGCUAUUGCCCAUGAUUUUAGGGGUGGGUCUGGGGUCGGGGCAUACUGUGGGCCAAAAAUUGACCAGGGAGGUUGGGGAUCAUUCCAGUGUGGUCCGUUUAAAUUUCCGUGGCCAUUCGAGUGGACCAACGGGAGAAACAAUGCAUUUUCGGGCCAACUCGGUGUUCUAUAGCCCACAGUUUAGGGGGUGGGCUCGGGGUCUGAGAGUGGAAUGGGUUGUAAAUCGACCGAGGUAUGCCAGGGAGGUUGGGGAUCAUCCCAGUAUGGUCCGUUUAAUUUUUUUGUUGCUGUUCGGGUGGACAAACAGGCAUAACGGCGCGAACGGGGCAUUUUUGGGCCAAAUCGGUGUGCUACAGCUUACGGUUUUGGGGGUGAACCCCAGGUCCGAGCGUGCUGUGGGAUAAAAAUCGAUCGGGGCGUGCUAGGGAGGUCGGGGAUUGUCCCUGUGUGGUCCGUUUAAUUUUUUGUGGCUAUUUGGGUAGACACAUGGGCGAAACGGUGCGAAUGGGGCAUCUUUGGGCCAAAUCGGUGUGCUACAGGCUACGGUUUCAGGGGUGGGCCCAGGGUUCGGGUAUGCAGUGGGCCGAAAAUCGUCCGAGGUGUGCCAGGGAAGUUAAGGAUCAUACCAGUGUGGUUCGUUUAAUUUUUCAUUGCCAUUUAGAUGGACAAAGGGGCGAAAUGGGUCAUUUUUGAGUCAAAUCGAUGUGCUAUAGCGUACGGUUUUGGGGGCGGGCCUAGGCUCUGGGCGUGCUGUGGGCCAAAAUCAAUCGGGGCAUUCCAGGGAGGUUGGGGAUCAUCCCAGUGUUGUCCGUUUAAUUUUUCGUGGUGAUUUGUGUGGACAAACGGUCGAAAUGGGGCGAUCAGGGCAUUUUUGGGCCAAAUCGGUUUGCUAUAACCCACGGUUUCGGGGGUGGGCCUGGGGUCCGAGUGUGCUGUGGGCCAAAAAUCAAUCGGGACAUCCUAGGGACGUUGGGGAUCGUCCUAGUAUGGUCCGUUUAAUUUUCAUGGCCAUUUGGGUGGACAAACGGGCAAAAUGGUGCGAACGGGGCAUUUUCGUGCCAAAUCGAUGAGCUAUAGCCCACAAUUUCAGGGGUAGGUCUGGGGUCUGGGCAUGCUGUGGGCCAAAAAUUGAUCGGGGCAUGCUAGGGAGGUUGGGGAUCAUCCCAAUGUGGUUCAUUUGUUUUUUUGUUGCUUUUUGGGUGGACAAACGGGCAAAAUGGCGCGAAUGGGGCAUUUUUAGGCCAAAUCGGUGUGCUAUAGCGCACGGUUUUGAGGUGGGCUCAGGAUCCGGGCGUGCUGUACGCCAAAAAUCGAUUGGGGCGUGCCAGGGAGGUUGGGGAUCGUACUAGUGUGGUCCGUUUAGUUUUUUGUGACCAUUUAGGUGGACAAACAGGCGAAACGAUGUAAAAGAGGCAUUUUGGGCCAAGACGGUGUGCUAUAGCCCACAAUUUUGAGGGUGGGCCUGGGGUUCGGGCAUGCCGCAGGUCGAAAAUCAAUCGAGGCUUGCCAGGGAGGUUGGGGAUGGUCCUAGUGUAGUUCGUUUAAUUUUUUGUGGCCAUUUGGGUGGACAAAUGGGAAAAAUAGCACAAACGGGGUAUUUUCGAGCCAAAUCGGUGUGCUAUAGCCUACAGUUUUGGGGGUGGGCCCAUGGUUCGGGUCUGAUGUGGGCAAAAAAUUAAUCGAGGCGUGCCAGGGAGGUUAGGGAUCGUCACAGUGUGGUCCGUUUAAUUUUUCGUGGCCAUUUGGGUGGACAAUCGGGCAAAACGGCGUGAACGGGGCAUUUUCGGGCUAAAUCAGUGUGUUAUAGCCUACGAUUUUAGGGGUGGGCUCGGGGUUCGGGUAUGCAUUGGGCCAAAAAUCGACAAGGGUGUGCGAGGGAGGUUGGAAAUCAUCCUAGUGUGGUUCGUUUAAUUUUUAGUGGCCAUUUGGGUGGACAAACGGGCGAAACAGCGAAUAGGGCAUUUUCGAGCCAAAUUGCAGUGCAUAGCCCACGGUUUUAGGGUUGGGCCCGGGGUUCGGGCGUGCUGUGGGACAAAAAUCGACUGGGGUGUGCUAGGGAGGUUGGGGAUCCUCCCAAUUUUGUCUAUUUAAUUUUUCGUGGCCAUUUGGGUGGACAAUCGGACGAAAGGGUACAAACGGGGCAUUUUCUGGCCAAAUCAUUGUGCUAUAGCCCACGAUUUUGAGGUGGUUCUGGGGUCCGGGCUUGCUCUGGGUGAAAAAUCGACCGGGGCAUGCCAGAGAGGUUGGGGAUCAUCCCAGUGUGGCCUGUUUAAUUUUUAGUGGACAUUUGAGUGGACAAACGGGCAAAAUAGCGCGAACGUGUCAUUUUUGGGCCAAUUCAGGGUAUUAUAGGCUACGGUUUUGGGGGUGGACCUGGGGUCCGGGCGUGCUGUGGGCCAAAAAUUGACCUGGGUGUACCAGGGAGGUUGGGGAUCGUCCAGUGUGGUCCGUUUAAUUUUUCGUGGACAUUUGGAUGUAUAAACUAGCGAAACGGGGUUAAUGGGGUAUUUUUGGGCUAAAUUUUUGUGUUGUAUCCCACGGUUUCGGGGGUGGGCUCAGGGUUCGGGCAUGCUGUGAGCCAAAAAUUGAUUGGAGCAUGCCAGGGAGGUCGGGGAUCAUCCCAGGGUGAACGGGGUAUUUUCGAUCUAAAUCGGUGUUCUAUAGCCUACGGUUUCUGGGGUGGACCCAGGUCCGUGCGUGUUGUUGGUCAAAAAUUGAUCGGGGCAUGACAGAGAGGUUGGGGAUCGUCCCAGUGUGGUUUUUUAAGUUUUCGUGGCCAUUUUGUUGGACAAACGGGCGAAGCAGCACGAACGGGGCAUUUUGGGGUUAGUCGGUGUGCUAUACCCCAUGAUUUCUGGGGUUGGCCCGGGGUUUGGGCGUGCUGUGGGCCAAAAAUCAACUGGGGCGUGCCAGGGUGGUUGGGGAUCAUCCCAGUGUGGUAUGUUUAUUUUUUCGUGGCCAUUUGGGUGGACAAACGGGCAAAACGGCACGAACGGGGCAUUUUUAGGCCAAAUCGAUGUGCUAUAGCCCACGGUUUUAGGGUUGGGCUCGGGGUUCGGGCAUGCUAUGGGCCAAAAAUUGAUCGGGGCGUGCCAGGGAGGUUGGGGAUCAUCCAGUGUUGUCCGUUUAAUUUUUCGUGGCCAUUUGGGUGGACAAUCGGGCAAAACAGUGCGAACGGGGCAUUUUCGGGCCAAAUCGUUGUGCAAUAGCCCACGGUUUCGAGGUGGGCCUAGCCUUCGGGGGUUCUGUGGGCCGAAAAUCAACUGAGGCAUACCAGGGAGGUUGGGGAUCGUCCCAGUGUGGUCCGUUUAAUUUUUUGUGGCCAUUUGAGUGGACAAACUGGCGCAAAGGCGCGAAUGGGGUAUUUUCGGGGCCAAAUCGGUGUUCUGUAGACCAUAGUUUUGGAGGUGGUUCCGGGGGCCGGGUGUGCUGUGGGCUAAAAAUCAACCGGGUCAUACCAGGGAUGUUGGGGAUCAUCCCAGUGUGCUCCAUUUAAUUUUUUAUGGCCAUUUGGGUGAACAAACUGACGAAACAGCGUGAAUGAGGCAUUUUCGAGCAAAGUUGGUGUGCUAUAGUUCACAGUUUCGGGGUUGGGCUCGCGGUCUGGGCGUGCUGUGGGCUAAAAAUCAAUCGGGGCAUGCCAGGGAGGUUGGAGAUCAUCCCAGCAUGGUCCGUUUAAUUUUUCAUGGUCAUUCGAGUGGACAAAUAGGCGAAACGACACGAACGUGGCAUUUUUGGGCCAAAUCGGUGUGCUAUAGUCCACGUUUUUAGGGAUCGGCCCAGGGUCUAGGUGUGCUGUGGGCCGAAAAUUGACUGGGAUGUGCCUGGGAGGUUGGGGAUCAUCCUAGUGUGGUUCGUUUAAUUUUUUGGGGCCAUUUGGGUGGACAAACAGGCGAAACGGAAAGAACGGGGCAUUCUCGACCCAAAUCGGUUUGCUAUAGCCUACGAUUUUUAGGGUGGGCUCGGGGUUUGGGCGUGCUAUCGGUCAAAAAUUGAUCGGGGCGUGCUAGGGAGGUUGGGGAUCGUCCUGUUUGGUCUAUUUAAUUUUUUGUGGCCAUUUGGGUGGAAAAGCGGGCAAAAUGGCAAGAACAGGGAGUUUUUGGGCCAAAUCGCUGAGCUAUAGCCCACGGUUUCAGGGGUAGGCCCGGGGUCCGAGCCUGCUGUGGGCUAAAAAUUGAUCCGACAUGCCAGAGAGGUUGGGGAUCAUUCCAGUGUGGUCCUUUUAAUGUUUCGUUGCUAUUUGGGUGGACGAACGGGAGAAACGACGGGAAUGGGGAAUUUUCGGGCCAAAUCAAUGUGCUAUAGCCCAUGGUUUUGGGGUGGGCCUGAGGUCAGGGCGUGCUGUCGGACGAAAAUCCAUCGGAGCAUGUCAGGGAGGUUGGGGAUCGUCCCAGUUUGGUUCAUUUAAUUUUUCAUGGCCAUUUGGGUGGAGGAAUGGGAGAAACAGCGUGAACAGGGAAUUUUUGUGCCAAAUCGGUGUGCUAUAGCCCACGGUUUCAAGGAUGGGCCCGGGGUCCGGGCGUGCUGUGGGCCUUAAAUAGAUCAGGGCAUGCCAGGGAGGUUGGGAUUGUUCGAGUGUGGUCCGUUUAAUUUUUCAUGGCCAUUUGGGUGGACAAACGGGCGAAACGGGGCAUUUUCUACCCAAAUCGGUGUGCUAUAGCCCAUGGUUUCAGGGGUGGCCCGGGGUUCGGGUGUGUUGUGGGUCAAAAAUCGAUUGAGGCAUCCCGGGGAGGUUGGGGAUCAUCCCAGUGUGGUCCUUUUAAUUUUUUGUGGCCAUUUGGGUGGACAAAGUGGGGAAAAGGCGCGAAUGGGGUAUUUUCGAGGCCAAAUAGGUGUUCUAUAGACCAAAAUUUUGGAGGUGGGUCCGGGGGCCGGGCGUGCUGUGGGCUGAAAAUCGAUCGGGAAGUGCUAGGGAGGUUGAGGAUCGUCCCUGUGAGGUUCGUUUAAUUUUUCAGGGCCAUUAGGGUGGUGAAAUGGGUGAAACAGCGCGAAUAGGGCAUUCUCGGGCCAAAUCGGUGUGCUAUAGCCUACGAUUUCGGGGGUGGGCUCGGGGUUCGAGCGUGCUGUGGGCCUAAAAUUGGCUGGGGCAUGCCAGGGAGGUUGGGGAUCAUCCAUUAUGGUCUAUUUAUUUUUUCGUUGCCAUUUGGGUGGAAAAACGAGCAAAAUGGCGCGAACGGGGAGUUUUUAGGCCAAAUCGCUGAGCUAUAGCCCACGGUUUCUGGGGUAGGCCCGGGGUAUGGGCCUCCUGUGGGCUAAAAAUUGAUCCGACAUGCCAGAGAGGUUGGGGAUCAUCCCAGUGUGGUUCUUUUAAUUUUUCGUUGCCAUUUGGGUGGAGGAACGGGUGAAACGGGGCGAAUGGGGCAUUUUUGGGCCAAAUCAGUGUGCUAUAGCCCAUGGUUUUGGGGUGGGCUCGAGGUCCGGGCGUGCUGUGGGAUGAAAAUGCAUCGGAGCGUGCCAAGGAGGUUGGGGAUCAUCCCAGUUUGGUUCAUUUAAUUUUUCGUGGCCAUUUGGGUGGAGAAAUGUGUGAAACAGCGCGAACGGGGAAUUUUCGUGCCAAAUUAGUGUGCUUUAGCCCACGGUUUUAAGGAUGGGCCCGGGGUCCAGGUGUGCUGUGGGCCUUAAAUAGAUCGGGGCGUACCAGGGAGGUUGGGGAUCGUCCGAGUGUGGUCCGUUUAAUUUUUUGUGGCCAUUUAGGUGGACAAACGGGCAAAAUGGGGCAUAUUUGAACCAAAUCAGUGUGCUAUAGCCCACGGUUUCGGGGGUGGCCCGGGGUUCGGGUGUGCUGUGGGUCAAAAAUCGACCGAGGCGUGCUGGGGAGGUUGGGGAUCAUCCCAUGGCUAUUUGGGUGGACAAACGGGCGAGACAGUAUGAACGAGGUAUUUUCGGGACAAAUCAAUAUGCCAUUUGGGUAGAUAAACAGGAAAAACGGCGUGAACAGGGCAUUUUCGGGCUAAAUCGGUGUGCUAUAGGCCACAAUUUAGGGGGUGGGCCCAGGGUCCGGGCGUUCUUUGGGCCGAAAGUUGACCGAGGCAUGCCAGGGAGGUUGAGGAUCAUCCCAGUAUAGUUUGUUUAAAUUUUCAUGGCCAUUUCGGUGGACAAACGGGCAAAACGGCACGAACAGGGCAUUUUUGGGCCAAAUCAAUCUGCUAUAGCCCUCGGUUUUAAGGGUGGGCUCGGGGUCUGGGCGUGUUGUGGGUCAAAAAUUGACUGGGGUAUGCCAGGGAGGUUGGGGAUCAUCCCAGUGUGGUCCGUUUAUUUUUUGUGGCUAUUUGGGUGGAUAAACUUGGCAAAAUAGCUCAAACAGGAAAUUUUGAGGCCAAAUCAGUGUGCUAUAACCCACAGUUUUGGGGGUGGGAAAGUGGUUCGAGCGUGCUGUGGGCCAAAAAUCGACCGGGGCAUGCCUGGGAAAUUAGGGAUCAUUCCAGUAUGGUCCGUUUUAAUUUUCAUGGCUAUUUGGAUGGACAAACGGGGGAAACUGCACGAACGAGGCAUUUUCAGGAUAAAUCAAUGCACUAUAUAGCCCACAGUUUCGGGAGUAAGCUCGGGUUUCGAGCGUGCUGUGGGCUAAAAAUUGAUCAGGACAUGCCAGAGAGGUUGGGUAUCAUCCCAGUGUGGUCCGUUUAAAUUUUCGUGGCCAUUUGGGUGGAUAAACAGGUGAAACGGCACGAAUGGGGCAUUUUUGAGCUAAAUCAGUGUGCUAUUGGACCUAGGGUUCAAGCGUUUCGGGGUAUGCCAGGGAGGUUUGGGAUCAUCCCCGUGUGGUCCGUUGAAAUUUUUAUGGCCAUUUGGAUGGACAAACGGGCAAAACAGCGCGAUCGGGGCAUUUUCGUGUCAAAUGGGUGUGCUAUAGCCCACAGUUUUGGGGAUGGGCUUGGGGUCCGGGCGUGCUGUGGGCCAAAAAUAAAUCGAGGUAUGCCAGGGAGAUUGGGAAUCAUCCCAGUGUGGUCCGUUUAAAUUUUCGUGGCCAUUUGGUUGGACAAACAUGCUAAACAGCGUGGACAUAGCAUUUUUGAGCUAAAUCGAUAUGUUAUAGCCCACGGUUUUAGGGGUGAGCCUAGGGUCCGAGCGUGCUGUGGGCCAAAAGUUUAUCGAGGUAUGCCAGAGAGGUUUGGGAUCUUCCCAGUGUGGUCCGUUUAAAUUUUUUGGCCAUUUGGGUGGACAAACGGGCUAAACAGCAUGAAUGGGACAUUUUAGGGAAAAAUCGGUGUACUAUAGCCCACGAUUUCAGGGUUGGGCCCGGGUUUCGAGCGUGCUGUAGGUCAAAAAUCUACUAGGGCAUGCCAAGGAGGGUGGGGAUCAUCCCAGUGUGGUCCGUUUAAAUUUUUAUGGCCAUUUGGGUGGACAAAUGGCUGAAACGGCGCGAAUGGGGCAUUUUUAGGCCAAAUCGAUGUGCUAUAGCCCACAGUUUCAGAGGUGGGCUCGGGGUCCGGGCAUGCUAUGGUCCAAAAAUUAAUUGGGGAAUGCCAGGGAAGUUUGGAUUCGUUCCAAUUUGGUCCGGUUAAAUUUUCGUGUCUAUUUGUGUCGACAAACGGGUGAAACGGCGCGAGCUGGGCAUUUUAGGUACAAAUCGAUGUGCUAUAGUCCACGAUUUCAGGGGUGGGCCUGGGUUCUUGGUGUGUUGUAGGCUGAAAAUUGACUGGGGCAUGCCAAGGAGGUUGGGCAUCAUCUUAGUGUGGUCUUUUUAAAUUUUUGUGGCCAUUUGAGUGGACAAAUAGGUUAAACGGUGCGAGCCGGGCAUUUUCAUAUCAAAUCAGUGUGGUAUAGACCACAAUUUUAUAGUGGGCCCAAGGUCCGAGUGUACUGUGGGCUGAAAUCAACUAGGGCGUGCUAGGGAGAUUGAGGAUCAUCCUAGUAUGGUCCGUUUAAAUUUUUGUGGCCAUUUGGGUGGACAAACGGGCGAAACGGCAUGGAUGGGAGGUUUAUGGGCCAAAUCGCUGUGCUAUAGCCUACGGUUUUCGGGGUAGUCUCGGGGUCCAUGCGUGUUGUGGGCCAAAAAUCAAUCGGGGCGUGCCAGGGAGGUUGGGCAUCAUCCCAGUGUGGUCCGUUUAAAUUUUUAUGGCUUUUUGGGUGGACAAACUGGCAAAAAAGCAUGAACGGGGCAUUUUUAGGACUAAUCGGUGUGCUAUAGCCCACGGUUUUGGGGGUGGGCCCGGGGUUCGGGCGUUCUGUGGGUCAAAAAUUGACUAGGGUGUGUCAGGGAGGUUGGGGAUCAUCCCAGUGUGGUCUGUUUAAAUUUUCAUGGCCAUUUGGGUGGACAAACGAGCGAAACGGCAUGAACGGGGUAUUUUUGAGCUAAAUCGGUGUGCUAUAGCCCAUGGUUUCAAGGGUGGGUCAGGGUUUCAGGCGUGCUACGGGCUAAAAAUUGAUCGAGGUAUGCCAUGGAGGUUGGGGAUUAUCCUAGUGUAGUCCAUUUAAAUUUUUGUGGCCAUUUGAGUGGACAAACGAGCGAAACAACACGAAUGGGGCAUUUUUGAGCCAAAUCGGUGUACUAUAGCCCACGGUUUCUGGGGAAGGCCCUCGAUCCGGUCGUGUUGUAGGAUGAAUGUUGUUCCGUCUUGGGGCUGUUGCCCGGCAGUGUUGGUCUCAUGGCCCUGUAGAAAUUCUCUUGUCAGAAAAUCGGGAAGGGAAUUGUGUUCUCCUUUUAUGAAUUCAAUUUGAAAAUCAAAGCUAGACAGGAGAGCUUGCCAUCUAGCAAAUAUUUGUUUUGAAACGAGAUUUUUAACAUCUUUUUGUAAAAUCUCUUUGGCUGAUUUACAAUCAACUCUAAGAAGGAAUUCCUUAUUAAUAAGGUCAUCUUGGAAUUUAGUGAUACAUAGCACUAUAGAUAAAACUUCUUUUUUAACCGUACUGUAAUUCCUCUGGGCAGAAUUCCAGAUUCCUGAGGUAAAACGUACUAAUUGUUCUGACGAAUGUUCACUUAACUUUUGCUUCAGGAUACCUCCAUACCNNNNNNNNNNNNNNNNNNNNNNNNNNNNNNNNNNNNNNNNNNNNNNNNNNNNNNNNNNNNNNNNNNNNNNNNNNNNNNNNNNNNNNNNNNNNNNNNNNNNNNNNNNNNNNNNNNNNNNNNNNNNNNNNNNNNNNNNNNNNNNNNNNNNNNNNNNNNNNNNNNNNNNNNNNNNNNNNNNNNNNNNNNNNNNNNNNNNNNNNNNNNNNNNNNNNNNNNNNNNNNNNNNNNNNNNNNNNNNNNNNNNNNNNNNNNNNNNNNNNNNNNNNNNNNNNNNNNNNNNNNNNNNNNNNNNNNNNNNNNNNNNNNNNNNNNNNNNNNNNNNNNNNNNNNNNNNNNNNNNNNNNNNNNNNNNNNNNNNNNNNNNNNNNNNNNNNNNNNNNNNNNNNNNNNNNNNNNNNNNNNNNNNNNNNNNNNNNNNNNNNNNNNNNNNNNNNNNNNNNNNNNNNNNNNNNNNNNNNNNNNNNNNNNNNNNNNNNNNNNNNNNNNNNNNNNNNNNNNNNNNNNNNNNNNNNNNNNNNNNNNNNNNNNNNNNNNNNNNNNNNNNNNNNNNNNNNNNNNNNNNNNNNNNNNNNNNNNNNNNNNNNNNNNNNNNNNNNNNNNNNNNNNNNNNNNNNNNNNNNNNNNNNNNNNNNNNNNNNNNNNNNNNNNNNNNNNNNNNNNNNNNNNNNNNNNNNNNNNNNNNNNNNNNNNNNNNNNNNNNNNNNNNNNNNNNNNNNNNNNNNNNNNNNNNNNNNNNNNNNNNNNNNNNNNNNNNNNNNNNNNNNNNNNNNNNNNNNNNNNNNNNNNNNNNNNNNNNNNNNNNNNNNNNNNNNNNNNNNNNNNNNNNNNNNNNNNNNNNNNNNNNNNNNNNNNNNNNNNNNNNNNNNNNNNNNNNNNNNNNNNNNNNNNNNNNNNNNNNNNNNNNNNNNNNNNNNNNNNNNNNNNNNNNNNNNNNNNNNNNNNNNNNNNNNNNNNNNNNNNNNNNNNNNNNNNNNNNNNNNNNNNNNNNNNNNNNNNNNNNNNNNNNNNNNNNNNNNNNNNNNNNNNNNNNNNNNNNNNNNNNNNNNNNNNNNNNNNNNNNNNNNNNNNNNNNNNNNNNNNNNNNNNNNNNNNNNNNNNNNNNNNNNNNNNNNNNNNNNNNNNNNNNNNNNNNNNNNNNNNNNNNNNNNNNNNNNNNNNNNNNNNNNNNNNNNNNNNNNNNNNNNNNNNNNNNNNNNNNNNNNNNNNNNNNNNNNNNNNNNNNNNNNNNNNNNNNNNNNNNNNNNNNNNNNNNNNNNNNNNNNNNNNNNNNNNNNNNNNNNNNNNNNNNNNNNNNNNNNNNNNNNNNNNNNNNNNNNNNNNNNNNNNNNNNNNNNNNNNNNNNNNNNNNNNNNNNNNNNNNNNNNNNNNNNNNNNNNNNNNNNNNNNNNNNNNNNNNNNNNNNNNNNNNNNNNNNNNNNNNNNNNNNNNNNNNNNNNNNNNNNNNNNNNNNNNNNNNNNNNNNNNNNNNNNNNNNNNNNNNNNNNNNNNNNNNNNNNNNNNNNNNNNNNNNNNNNNNNNNNNNNNNNNNNNNNNNNNNNNNNNNNNNNNNNNNNNNNNNNNNNNNNNNNNNNNNNNNNNNNNNNNNNNNNNNNNNNNNNNNNNNNNNNNNNNNNNNNNNNNNNNNNNNNNNNNNNNNNNNNNNNNNNNNNNNNNNNNNNNNNNNNNNNNNNNNNNNNNNNNNNNNNNNNNNNNNNNNNNNNNNNNNNNNNNNNNNNNNNNNNNNNNNNNNNNNNNNNNNNNNNNNNNNNNNNNNNNNNNNNNNNNNNNNNNNNNNNNNNNNNNNNNNNNNNNNNNNNNNNNNNNNNNNNNNNNNNNNNNNNNNNNNNNNNNNNNNNNNNNNNNNNNNNNNNNNNNNNNNNNNNNNNNNNNNNNNNNNNNNNNNNNNNNNNNNNNNNNNNNNNNNNNNNNNNNNNNNNNNNNNNNNNNNNNNNNNNNNNNNNNNNNNNNNNNNNNNNNNNNNNNNNNNNNNNNNNNNNNNNNNNNNNNNNNNNNNNNNNNNNNNNNNNCCGGUUUGGGAGCUAUCAGACUCGUAAGCGGCGUUGAUGUAAUCUUCGUCGCUGUAUUCAUCCUCGGAAGAGGAAUAAGAGUCAGAUGCUUCGGAGGGAUCUUCCAUUAUAGAGAAGAGCUUUUCCUUGGUUUCAUCAGUCAAAUCAAGAAGAUUUAUUUUCUUCUUUUUGCCUGAUGUGCAAUCUUUGGCUCUAUGGCCUGUUUUUCCGCAAGUCCAACAAGUAUCCUUGGAUUUUGAGGAAGUCUUGCGUCUGGUUUUUCGACGAGAUUUAUUGGAUUCCUUAUAGGGAUCCUUAUAGGAAGUCUUUCGUUUAGGAUAAGACCUUUUAUGAUGCUUUGGAGGCUUUCUUUUAUGCCUCCUGCUUUCAUUGAGGUCCGUGAAACCGUAGUCGUGACAGAAAGUUGUCAGACCAUAUUUAUGGUUUUGCUUAAGCUGUUGUUUAAGCUUAAGGUCCGUACAGAGUUCUAUUCCUGUGGUGGUGAUGAAACUUACUAGAUCACCGUAGGUAAGAAUGUUAUAAGGGAUUUGGCCCUCGAAUCUAUCCUUAAGUUUUGUUCACAGUAAGGACAACACCCGAGAAAUAGCGAUCAUAUACCGUGUAUAUUAUCGCCUAAUGGGUACCACUCUAGCUCCAAAAGCUAGAUUCACGAGCCCUAAAAGGGUUACCACCCUAAUGAAAGCAGGAGGCAUAAAAGAAAGCCUCCAAAGCAUCAUAAAAGGUCUUAUCCUAAACGAAAGACUUCCUAUAAGGAUCCCUAUAAGGAAUCAAAUAAAUCGCGUCGAAAAACCAGACGCAAGGUUUCCUCAAAAUCCAAGGAUACUUGUUGGACUUGCGGCAAAACAGGCCAUCGAGCCAAAGAUUGCACAUCAGGCAAAAAGAAGAAAAUAAAUCUUCUCGAUUUGACUGAUGAAACCAAGGAAAAGCUCUUCUCUAUAAUGGAAGAUCCCUCCGAAGCAUCUGACUCUUAUUCUUCUUCCGAGGAUGAAUACAGCGACGAAGAUUACAUCAACGCCGCUUACGAGUCUGAUAGCUCCCAAACCGGGCAAGACUGUGAGUGCAAUAGCACUUUCUGCACCUGCACCCGUAAAACCAUCAAUGUCAUUUCAGACAAACCAAAAGAAAUCUUGUUUGACAUCAUAGAACAUAUCGAUGAUGAAGAACUCAGACAUAAGUAUCUCCAAGAACUUAAGCGCCUUGUGCUUUCUUCCGAUGAAGGCACUUCCAAACCUAAACCUGUUGUUCAGCCUUUCUCCAUGACUAGAGUAAUGGCAAAGUUCAAACCUCCCUCUGAGCCCUCUAUCGCAGACCUCAAAGGAGAGGUCUCUACAUUAAAAAGUGAGAUCAAAAAUCUGAAGACUCGCCUUGAUCAAGUAGAGCUACACGUUCUGACUGAUCAAAUCCUGCAUACCGCUUCACCAACAGCUCUUCCCCCUACAUCUCAGGCACUCAGCCCCCCUACUGAUCAUCUCCAAGAGCCAAUGUCUUUUCCGGGAGAAGAUGCUUCGACUAUCCCAUCUACGUCUGCAGCAAUCGCAGCCAUCAAGGCUUAUAGCGAACAUAUUGCUGUUAAGAUCGUUAUUGCCAAAGACUUUGUAUUAAACAAAGUAGCCCUUUUUGAUACCGGCGCUGACAGUAAUUGUAUUGUCAAAGGCCUUAUUCCCACUCGGUAUCUCCAAAAGAGUACCUCCAAGCUAUACUCAGCCACGGGUGAAAAAAUGCGAAUUGAUUACCAACUUCGCCAAGCUCAUAUCUGUAAUAACGGCGUAUGCCUUAUUAAUGAUUUUGUCAUUACUGAAGAUAUCACUGAAGAUAUCAUACUUGGCAUCCCCUUUAUCAACCAGAUCAGACCUUACCAAAGUAAUUACGAUGGUAUUCGGACCACCUUGAUGGACACUGAUCUGUUUUUCCCUUUACUUCGGCCGCUCUCCUCUCAUGAGCAGCAGCGUAUCAAAGACGAAACCGUCUUUAAGAUCAAUCGUCUUUCCUCUCAUCUUGCCUUUCUACAGCACGAUAUUCAGCUCAAACGUAUUGAGCACACUUUAAACACCCCGGAGAUGGUUAGCAAAAUUUCCACUCUCCAGCAAAAGUUUGAAAACGAGAUUUGCUCCGAAUUGCCAAACGCCUUUUGGGAACGCAAACGACACCUCGUUGAACUUCCAUACAUAUCUGGCUUCGAUGAACAAAACAUCCCCACUAAAGCCAGACCAAUCCAAAUGAAUCAUGAGAUGAUGGAAAUCUGUAAAACAGAAAUCAAUCAUCUUCUUGAAAAAGGAAUUAUCCGCCCUUCUAACUCUCCAUGGAGUUGCUCAGCAUUUUAUGUAAAUAACAGUGCUGAAAAAGAAAGAGGAACACCCAGGCUUGUAAUAAAUUAUAAGCCACUAAAUGCAGUCUUAAAAUGGAUUAGACAUCCUAUUCCCAACAAAAGGGAUCUUUUAAAGCGAACUUAUAAAGCUAACCUUUAUAGCAAGUUCGAUAUGAAAUCAGGCUUCUGGCAAAUUCAGAUUGCCGAAAAGGAUAAAUAUAAGACGGCAUUCAAUGUUCCUUUUGGACAUUAUGAAUGGAAUGUCUUACCCUUCGGGCUUAAGAAUGCCCCUUCAGAAUUCCAAAAUAUUAUGAAUAACAUUUUUAAUGAUUAUUCUUAUAUGACCAUUGUUUAUAUUGACGAUGUGUUAAUCUUUUCUGAGAAUAUUGAUUCUCAUUUUAAACAUCUUAACACUUUCUUUAAGAUUGUCAAAUUAAAUGGUUUGGUAGUAAGCGCUAAAAAAAUGCAGCUCUUCCAGACUUCUAUCCGAUUUCUAGGACAUGAUCUGCACCAAGGAAGUCACAAGCCCAUCUGUAGAGCCAUAGAAUUCUCUACUAAAUUUCCUGAUGAAAUUACUGACAAAACGCAACUUCAAAGGUUCUUAGGAAGCCUAAAUUAUGUUGCUGACUUUAUUCCUAACGUUAGGCAGGUCUGUGAACCCCUUUAUCAGCGUCUCAAGAAAAAUCCAAUUCCUUGGGGUCCUGAGCAAACAAAAGCGAUCGUCAAGGUCAAGUCUUUGGUUAAAAACCUUCCCUGCCUAGGAAUCCCCAAUCCUGAUGCUUUUAUGAUUGUUGAAACAGAUGCUUCAGACCUAGGGUAUGGAGGUAUCCUGAAGCAAAAGAUGAGUGAACAGUCGUCAGAACAAUUAGUACGUUUUACCUCAGGAGUUUGGAAUUCUGCCCAGAGGAAUUACAGUACAGUUAAAAAAGAAGUUUUAUCUAUAGUGCUAUGUAUCACUAAAUUCCAGGAUGACCUUAUUAAUAAGGAAUUUCUUCUAAGAGUUGAUUGUAAAUCAGCCAAAGAGAUUUUACAAAAAGAUGUUAAAAAUCUCGUUUCUAAACAGAUAUUUGCUAGAUGGCAAGCUCUCCUAUCUAGCUUUGAUUUUCAAAUUGAAUUCAUAAAAGGAGAACACAAUUCCCUUCCCGAUUUUCUGACAAGAGAAUUUCUACAGGGCCAUGAGACCAACACUGCCGGGCAACAGCCCCAAGACGGAACAACAAAGAAUGGCUAGACCAUUCGAUUCUCCAAAUCCAGCCUCAAAUCCUUUACGGCCCACAGUACCACAGAGGCCGACCAUCAAGACAGAAACUCCCAACCGAUUCUCUGCUUUGACAGAAAUACAAUUUCCCAAAUUAUCUCCACCAAUGCCCACGAAGUUGGUAGACCUCAAGACAAAUUUGCCUCUGGAAAAAGGAUCGUCUGCGGCAAGCUCUUCCUCCAUCCAGACCAAACAGAGCUAUGCCAUGAAGGCCCCUGAGACCUUCGCUCAGGCGGUAAAUCCUGCUGCUGCCACAGUUACUCCUCCCUCUCCCACCAAAGAGGAAUUCAAAUUUAUUACUUCCACUGUAAUGCCUAUCAUUUCUCUCGAUAAGGCUUACGAAGGAUACCCGGUCAACCAGUUAAUCAGGCCGAUAUAUACUACUAAUAACUUUGUGGAUACAGAAGAUCCACUCAAGACUCGCAGAUAUUACGAAGCUAUUCUGGUCGACACGGAUUCGAUCGAAGUAGAACAUUCACUGGAUAACAACAAUCCAGAUUAUAUCAGUUAUUCUAAAUUCACCAUAAAAAGGAUAUUAACUCCUUUUAAUUGGUUUGUUGAUCAUUUACACACCCCCAUCGCUCUAUCUAUGCCACACAGGCCUCAAACCUACAACUGGCACGACUACCGAGCUGCAUGGUUCAAUUUCAUCUAUGUUCGUCCAGGACAUACAUGGUUUGUCAAGUAUUGCCCUGCCAUAGUAGAUGCUACUAUCCCAAGGUGGUUCUACGAGUGGUGGUCCUGCUUCGGGGGAACCAAAGGAGUUCUCCCUCAACAAUUUUUAAAUAGAUUCCCAGAUUUCCUCGUGAAGGAAGGAUGCUCCACAUUACCUGAGCACAUUCAAAUGUGCAAAUUCUUUACCAAAAAACGUAUAUCAUAUAUUAUUUCCUGGAACUUCUCCAAAGAAGAACAGCACAGGAUUAAGUAUUUAUCCAAAGAGAUUAAAAUCAAGGGUUGGACUCCAAAGCCAACCACUCCUAAAACCCCAGACAAAGGAAAAGCUACAACAAUGGCUUCUCCAUCUUCUUCUGCCUCAAAGAAAGCGCUAAAAGAGAAAUUGAAACAAGCUCUGGCCAACCUAGAAGGACCAGAUCCUACAGACAAUAAUGAAGAAUUAUUGCAACUUAUCGCCGAAGCUUCCUCAACAGGCAGUAGCAGCGACAAUGGCGAUAUGCUAGAUCCCAAAGGGAUCGCUAUGGCCUACCUUGAUCCCUAUUAAGAAUAGGGAAAUAACCCUUCAAAGAGAUAGAGGUCCAAAGGGCCGGAAUUACCUCUUCGAAAGGGCAAUUCACUAUUCCUAAAAGGAAUCUAGGUGUCAGACAAAGUUUGCUGUGUCAGACAAAGUCUGCUUUUCCAAAAGCAAAAGAAAGGAAUCUUUACUUUAUUACUUUUAUAAAGUAACCACUUACUUCUGUCGGCAAAAUCUUAGCCGUCCACUUGUAUCAAUCUGUUACAUGUAAUGUAUCCCCUCGCCUAUAAAAGGCAAGCCCAUCCUUUAGAGAAGGCAUCCGAAAAUUUCCUACCAUAAGAAAUUCUCUCUGCCCAUUCUCUCUUGUACAAUCUUGUAAUGUUUUUCCAAUUUCAAUAAAAACUUUGUAAGUUUUCAAUUUCAGUUCUUGUUCUUAUUUACUGCUUUUCAAGGUUAACACACGAUCCUUUCAAACUGUUAUAGCCCACGAUUUUAGGGGUAGGCUAGGGGUGCGGGCUUUUUGUGGGCCAAAAAUCAAUCGGGGUGGGCCAGGAAGGUUGGGGAUCAUCCCAGUGUGGUCAAUUUUUAGGGCCAUUUCGGUGGACAAAUGAGCGAAACGACGUGAACUGGGUAUUUUUGAGCCAAGUUGGUGUGCUAUAGCCCAUGGUUUCAAGGGUGGACUCGGGGUUCGAGUAUUUUAUGGGCCAAAAAUUGAUCGAGGCAUACCAAGGAGGUUGGGAUCGUUCCAGUAUAGUCCAUUUAAAUUUUUAUGGCUAUUUGGGUGGACAAGCGGGUGAAACGGCAUGAACGAGAUAUUUUCGGGCUAAAUCGAUGUGCUACAGCCCACGAUUUCGGGGUUGGGCCCAGUAUCCAGGCGUACUGUAGGCCAAAAAUUGUUCAGGAUAUGUCAGGGAGGUUGGGCAUCGUCCCAGUUAGUUUGUUUAAAUUUUUGUGGCCAUUUGGGUGGACAAACGGGUGAAAAGGCACGAAUGGGGUAUUUUUGGGCAAAAUUGGUGUGUUAUAUUCAAUGGUUUCGGGGGUAGGUGCGGGGUCCGGGCGUGCUGCGGGCCGAAUAUUGAUCAGGGUAUGCCAAGGAGGUUGGGGAUCAUCCUAGUAUGGUCAGUUUAAAUUUUCAUGUCCAUUUGGGUGGACAAACAAGCAAAACGAUGCGAACGGGGCAUUUUAAAGCCAAAUCUGUAUGCUAUAGUCCACAAUUUUGGGGGAGGGCCCUUGGUCUGGUUAUGUUGUGGGCCAAAAAUCGAUCGGGGCAUGCCUGGGAGGUUUGGGAUCAUUCCAGUGUUGUCCGUUUAAAUUUUCCUGGCCAUUUGGGUAGACAAAUUGGCGAAUCUUCUCAAACGGGGCAUUUUUGGGCUAAAUCAGUGUGUUAUAGCCCACGGUUUUGGGGAUGGGCCUGGGUUCUGGGCGUACAGUUGGUCCAAAAUUGACCAGGGCAUGCCAAGGCAGUUUGGGAUCAUCCCAUUAUGGUCCGUUUAAAUUUUUGUGGCCUUUUGGUUGGAUAAACGGGUGAAACAUCGUGAAUGGGACAUUUUUGAGCUAAAUCGGUGUGCUAUAGCCCACGGUUUUGGGGGUGGGCUAGGGAUCCAGGUGUGAUGUUGGUAAAAAAUUUAUCGGGGUAUGCCAGGGAUUUUGAGAAUCAUCCCAAUGUGGUCCGUUUAAAGUUUCAUUGCCAUUUGGGUGGACAGACAGGCAAAACGGUGCGAGCGGGGCAUUUUCUAGCCAAAUCGGUGUGUUAUAGCCUACGGUUUUGGGGGUGGGCCUUGGGUCCGGGUGUACUGUGGGCUAAUAAUCGACUAAGGUAUGCUUGGGAAGUUGAUAAUCAUCCCAGUAUGGUCCAUUUGAAUUUUUAUGUCCAUUUAGGUUGACAAACAGGUGAAAUAGCGCGAGCGGGGCAUUUUCGGGCAAAAUUGGUGUGCUACAACCCAUUGUUAUUGGGGUGGGCCCAGGGUCUAGGCGUUUUGUGGGUCAAAAAUCGACCGGGGCAUGCCAAGGAGGUUGGAAAUCGUCCAAAUGUGGUCCGUUUUAAUUUUUGUGGCCAUUUGGGUGGACAAACGGGCGAAACGGCGUGAGCCGGGCAUUUUAGGGCUAAAUUGGUAUGCUGCAGCCCAUGGUUUCAGGGGUGGGCCUGGGUGUACUAUGGCUUAAAAAUUGACCGGGGCAUGUCAAGGAGGUUUGGGAUUAUCCUAGUGUGGUCUUUUUAAAUAUCCGUGGCCAUUUGUGUGGAUAAACGAGCAAAACGGUAGGAACGAGGAAUUUUCAGGCCAAAUUGGUGUGCUAUAGCCCACAAUUUUAUGAUGGACCAGGGGUCCGGGCGUACUGUGGGUCAAAAAUCAAUCGGGGCAUAUCAGGUAGGUUGGGGAUCAUCCGAGUGUGGUCCAUUUAAAUUUUCAUGGCUCUUUGGGUGGACAAAGGGUGAAAUGGCACGAACGGGGUGUUUUCAGGCCAAAUAGAUGUGCUAUAGCCCACGAUUUUGGGGGUGGGCCUGGGGUCUAAGCGUGCUGUAGGCCCAAAAUUGAUUGGGGCGUGCCAGGGAGGUUGGGUAUUAUUCAAGUGUGGUCCAUUUAAAUUUUUGUGGAUAUUUGGAUGGACAAACGAGCGAAAUGGCGUGAACACAGUAUUUUUGGGCCAAAUCAAUGUGCUAUAGCCCACGGUUUUGGGGGUGGGUCCGAGGUCCGAGCGUGUUAUGGACCAAAAUUGAUAGGGGCAUCUCAGGGAGGUUGGGGAUCAUCCCAGUAUGGUCCGUUUAAAUUUUCUAGGCCAUUUGGAUGGGAAAAUGGGAAAAACGACGCGAACGGGGUAUAUUCGAGCAAAAUCGGUGUGCAAUAGCCCAUGAUUUUGGGGGUAGGCUAGGCGUACGGGCGGUUGUGGGCCAAAAAUUAAUUGGGGUGGGGCAGGGAGGUUGGGGUUCAUCCUAGUGUGGUCCAUUCAAAUUUUCAUGGCCAUUUAGGUGGUCAAACGAGCAAAAUGGUGUGAACGGGGCAUUUUCGAGACAAAUUGCUGUGCUAUAGCCCACGGUUUUAAGUGUGGGCCUGGGGUCUGAGCGUUUUGUGGGCUGAAAAUCGAUCGAGGCAUGCCAAAGAGGUUGGGGAUCGUUCCAAUAUGGUUUGUUUAAAUUUUUAUGGCUAUUUGGGUGGACAAGAGGGUGAAAUGGCAUGAACGGGGUAUUUUCGGGCCAAAUCGAUGUGCUACAUUCCACGGUUUCAUGGGUGGGCCUGGGAUCCAAACGUACUGUGGGCCAAAAAUUGACCGGGACAUGUCAGGGAGGUUGGGCAUCAUCCUGGUGUGGUCUUUUUAAAUUUUUAUAGCCAUUUGGGUGGACAAACGGGUUAAAAGGCACAAAUAGGGUAUUUUUGGGCAAAAUCGGUGUUCUAUAACCGACGAUUUCGGGGGUGGGCAAGGGGUUUGGGCGUGCUGUGGGCUAAAUAUUGAUCGGAGUAUGCGAAGGAGGUUGGGGAUCAUCCCAGUAUGGUCCGUUUAAAUUUUUGUGGCCAUUUGGGUGGACAAAUGAGCGAAACAACGUGAACGGAGCAUUUUUGAGCCAAAUUAGUGUGCUAUAGCCUAUGGUUUUGGGGGAGGGCCUUUGGUCCGAUCAUGCUGUGGGCCAAAAAUUGAUCGGGGCAUGCCAGGGAGUUGGGGAUCAUUCCAGUGUGAUCUGUCUAAUUUUUCAUGGCUAUUAGGGUGGAUACACAGAGUAAAAGGCGCUAACGGGGCAUUUUUAGGCUAAAUUGUGUGCUAUAGCCCAGGGUUUUGGGGGUGGUCCUAGGGUCCAGGCGUGUUGUUGUCCAAAUAUCAACUGGGGCAAGCUUGGUAGGUUAGGUAUUAUCCUUGUGUGGUUCGUUUAAAUUUUUGUGACCAUUUGGAAUGAGAAAUGGCAGAAACAGCUCGAACGGGGCAUUUUCGAGCUAAAUCGGGGUGCUAUAGCCCAUGGUUUCAGGGGUGGACCCGGGGUACGGGCAUGCUAUGGGUCAAAAUAUGAUCGAGGCUUUCCAGGGAGGUUGGGGAUCAUCCCAGUGUGAUCCGUUUAAAUUUCUAUGGCUAUUUGGAUGGACAAACGGGUGAAACAAUGCGAACCGGGCAUUUUUUGGGCCAAGUCGGUGUGCUAUAGCUCACGGUUUUGGGGGUGUGCCGAUGGAUAAAAAUUGCCCGGGGUGUACCAGGGAGGUUGGGAUCAUAGCAGUGUGGUCUGUUUAAAUUUUCAUGGCUAUUUGGAUGGACAAACGGGGGAAACUGUGCGAACGGGGCAUUUUCAGGAUAAAUCAAUGCACUAUAAGCCCACAGUUUCAGGGGUGGGCCCGGGUUUCGGGAGUGCUAUGGGCCAAAAAUUGAUCAGGAUAUGCCAUAGAGGUUGGGUAUCAUCCCAGUGUGGUCCGUUUAAAUUUUCAUGGCUAUUUGGGUGGAUAAAUAGGUGAAACGGCACGAAUGGGGCAUUUUCGAGCUAAAUCGGUGUGCUAUAGCCCACAAUUUUGGGGAUGGACCCAGGGUUCGAGCGUUCUGUGGGCUAAAAAUCAUCCGGGGUAUGCCAGGGAGGUUUAGGAUCAUCCCCGUAUGGUUCGUUGAAAUUUUUAUGGCCAUUUGGAUGGACAAACGGGCAAAAAGCGUGAUUAGGGCAUUUUCGUCUCAAAUGGGUGUGCUGUGGGCCAAAUAUCAAUCGGCGCAUGCCAGGGAGAUUGGGGAUCAUCCCAGUGUGGUCCGUUUAAAUUUUCGUGGCCAUUUGGUUGGACAAACAUGCAAAAUAGCGCGAAUAUAGCAUUUUUGGGCCAAAUUGAUGUGCUAUAGCCCACGGUUUUGGGGGUGAGCCCAGGGUCCGAGCGUGCUAUGGGCUGAAAAUUGAUCGAGGUAUGCCAGGGAGGUUGGGGAUCAUCCCAGUGUGGUCCGUUUAAAUUUUUUGGCCAUUUGGGUGGACAAAUGGUCUAAACGGCGCGAAUGGGACAUUUUUGGGCCAAAUCAGUGUACUAUAGCCCACGAUUUCAGGGGUGGGCCCGUGUUCCGGGCGUGCUAUAGGCCAAAAAUUGACUAGGGCAUGCCAGGGAGGGUGGGGAUCAUCUCAGUGUGGUCCGUUUAAAUUUUUAUGGCCAUUUGGGUGGACAAAUGGCUGAAAUAGCGCGAAUGGGGCAUUUUUAGGCCAAAUCGGUGUGCUAUAGCCCACAGUUUUAGAGGUGGGCUCGGGUUCCGGGCAUGCUAUCAUCCAAAAAUUAACUUUGGCAUGCUAGGGAAGUUGGGAUUUGUUCCAAUUUGGUCCGUUUAAAUUUUUGUGGCUAUUUGUGUCGACAAACGGGCGAAACGGCGCGAACUGGGCAUUUUAGGUACAAAUAGAAAGAUUUGAGUCUUAGAUUUUUAUUUAGUUUUCUAGAUUUUGUAUUUCAAAUCUUGUAUAUCUAGGUAAGUAUAUACUUAGUCAAAAUAUAUGCAAUAUAAUUUUUGUUGUAUUUGGCUCAAUCCUUUUAGUAAAAUGGGCUGAGUUUAAUUGCAAUUCAAUUAAGACAACGAAGGAUAAUUAUUUGAGUUCUUUCUCCUUGUCCUUCGUUAUUUCCUGCUAAUUUAUCUGCUAAUGUCUACUAUUUUUACUUAUCCAAAACGUCCACUGCUUUAAAAUGAAAUACGAUCUCUUUCCAUACCUCACAAAAAGCAGCUAGUUCCGGGCUCCAUUUGGAAGCCUCGCGAAUAAUCUCAUUACCUUCCCGAGCAAGAUCGCGUCCUUCAUUUCAAGCUUUUACACAUUCUUCUAGAGCUACUCGAUUAGCUAUGGAACCUGGCACAUCACACCAAGGAUGUCCUAAAGUUCCUCCACCGAACUGUAAUACGGAAUCAUCCCCAAAGAUCUUGGUCAGAGCAGGCAUAUGCCAAACAUGAAUACCUCCUGAAGCCACAGGUAUAACACCUGGUAAAAAGACCCAAUCUUGAGUGAAAUAAAUACCGCGACUUUGAUCUUGUUGAACAAAAUCAUCACGCAAUAAGUCAACAAAGCCCAAAGUUAUUUCUCUUUCACCUUCAAGUUGCUCCCAACUAUCGAUUGAUUCAGGCUCUAAAUCUUUUUUUUGAUUCUAUGUAUUAUUCUCAUUAUGCACAUAAGGGAGGAGCCGUAUAAAGUGAAAUUCUCACGUAUGGUUCUGGAACGGAGAUUCUUUCAGUUGAAUGACGACAAUAACGGAUAUCGGCUCAAUCCAAAGGAAAUUACACGGAAGCUUUGUAGAAUUAUUAUGAAGCUAUGCGACUUGAAAUUGAUCCCUAUGAUCGAAGUUAUAUACUCUAUAAUAAAUGCUUUUUUUCCCUAAUUUGUUUUGUUUGAGAAGCUGUGAUCGGAACUUCUUUCGCUUUGAACGACUCCGGUCCUAUUGAAUCUCUUACCACGGCUAGUCUCUUUGUAGUAGUAAUAGCGGGAGGGGGGAACUCUUUUGAAAGAAGAAAGGAUUAGGUCUCAAUAAAAGAGCCUAUGAAAAAAAAAGAACAUGGAAUUGAAAGUUCUUUGCCUUAGACUUCGAGUUGACAGAACUCUUGGCCUUACGAGACGCGGGCAACUUUACUAUUCAAAGGGAUAGAAGUAAGAAAAUGUUGGAAGAGAUAGACCUCUUUUGCUUAGUUGGAUUACGGGCCUUUGUGAAGGUGACCUUCUUUCGGGCGAGAGGGUCACCGUGGGUGCCGUAGUCAAGAGAGAAUCCUGUAUGUUCUAUUACCAGUCUAGUGCACUAGUGCAAUUAUAGAAAGAUUCCUUUUCAGAGGCCACUAAAAGCCCUUUUAUGGCACGUUUACCCCCUUCCAGGGGUUCUGUUAACACGAGGGGUUUUGAACGUUGCAUUUUAGCUUUCAGAGACCGCUCUCUCAUUGGGAUUGGGAAGGGUCGAGUCUUUUUCUGAGUCGUGAAUCUCCUCGGUACUUGAAAUUAAUUCUUUAAAGCUGGGAACUCCAUUUAAUUACCCGGGCAUAAGCUCUCCCUUUGCUUAGCUCCUUUUUGUAAAGCACAAAAGCUAAGGCGCUACAUAGAGCUCUUUUAUUAUAGGGCGAGGAGUCUGCUUCCUAAAUCCCAUUUUAGAGGGCAGGUAUCACGCUUUAUACAAUUGUCAGCUAAGUAAAUAGAUGGGGAAAAUAAAGAAAAAAAGCGCUUUGAAAGUCGUAAACCACACGAAAUCAGGCUUUACCUUAGCUACUAAGAGGCUUCCUCUGGCAACGACUUUCAUUUUCCUAAAGAUUGAAUUCUUACCGGCAUACGCUAGGAGCAUCACUCUGAAUCUAGGAGCUUUCUUUCUUCCCCUUGUUAGCAAUCCUCUUUGUUUUCUUACACGACAGCUUUCGAAGUAAGCUAGUCAAGCAAUAACAGCGGGAUCAGGAAGUGUGAACUCAGACAGUACGGGAAGAGCCACCCUUUUCCUCUCAAGCGAGAGCAGCUGAAAGGAAGUGACAGAAGCCAACUAGAAGCUUAAGUGAAUCUCUUUGGUGAGGUGAAGAAUCCGUCUAUUCAACGGGGCUAUUAGAGAAGUAAAGGGUAGAAAAAUCUUCCUUUAGUAAGUAAGGUCCAUGGAUUCGUGUGAGUGGCUUUGUCUUUCGUGAGCGUAGGCAGUAAAAGAGCACGUAUGUACAGGUGCCGGGGUGAAAGCUCAAUCCAAUACAUGAAAGCGGAAUCACAACUGUCAAAGUAAGUAGGUCAAUGCCAAUAAAAAAGAUAGGGUUUAGCUUAGUAUAGUCCUAAGGAAAGCAAAUGAAAUAGAAUAAGAUGUCAUCUCAUGCCCUUUUUAAAUGGGGCACGAAAGCUAAAAGAAAUAGUAAGGUGCGAAGGGAACUCCUUAAAACACUUUUUAGUUGAAGAUGGAGGUGAGGGAAGACAGAAGGAGUAGCAUAAUUAGUAACCUCUUGUAACAUUAUUCUUGUAUUAGUUAGAAAUAAGACUAGAAAAAGAGAAUUCCUUUUGGUUAAGAUAAAGAUUAAUGGAUAGAAAGAUUCAUGGGUCGAAGCAAAAGGAGCUCAGCUUAGGGGCCUGUAUGCCUUGUUUCCAAGAUCCGGUGGAUAGCUUUCAUAUUCCCCCAGGGCUUUCAUUCAGAUGGAGGGGUAGUCUGAAUUCAUUAACCAAAUAUGAAAGUAAGAGAGGCAAUUCUUAAAAUUCUUUGAUCCCGAAAGCCCAACACUCGGCCUAGUAAUUCUUGUCCGAACCUUCCAUCCGUAAGCCAAUAAAUUGAAAAGACAAGUCGGACAUCAUUCGACACCUUCCACCGAUAAAACAUGCUAUCGAAGGAAAGAGUCACCCAAAAAGGCAUUUCCAACCAUAACUUCACCUGUUGCAGAACCGUAACCCAUCCUUGGCCUCUCUAUGAAUGUGCAUGCCUAGAUCUUCGUCAUUCUCUUCCACCAAAAGGAAGAAUGGAAUAAUCAAUCGCAUCUACAAUCGAAACCCAAGCUGGCGAAUAAGCAAGUGAUUGGUCUUUUUUAGUUUUUAUUAGCUUGAUCGGCAACUGGGACACAAACGAAGGAGCUUUUAGAAUGACUUCAAUUGGCACACACAGUAUUACCCCAACUCUUCCUUAGCCUCUUAGACUGACUUGCCAGACCUUAAGCUCUUCGUUUCAUGCCUUACUUCUGCUCUAACGAGAACUCUAAGAUGAGGGAGUUAGAAGUCGGAUUUGAAGCUGGACUUUCCCUAUAUGACAUUUCUUUAAAGUCCGCUUCGAAGCUUCCAGGUUUACUUGUUUUAUAUUAUGGUUAUAGAGAAUAACUCAGUCCCUUGCUUCCAUUAGUCAGGUGCAGGGAUAUCAUCUCUUUAUCUAGAAUUAUUCCUUUUGCAUAUAUAUCUCGUCGAUAAAAAAGAAAUGAUUUGACUUUCCCGUAGCUUUCUUCAAAACUCUUUCAUUUCUCUUUUCUUCUCACCUCAUAGUUUUGAAAUGAAUGACUUUUUUCUUCUUGCUUCACCUUCGCACAGAAGAACGAAAGGAAAAAUCAAUGCUCUAACCCCGGGAUAUCUCACGUGUCCAAUAACGAGAAUGUCAGCUAUGGCCUUAGGUUAUCUUUCUGUUCAAGCAAACUAUGGGGCUUUUAGUUUUAUUUCAUCUCAUCUGUAUGCAAAGAAAACUAGCAUAAAAAAGGACUCCGUUAUGUUAAAGGUAUCGAGGUUGACUGGUUGUCUAUCUAGGUGAGUAUCGAACAUGGUGUCUUUCUACCGCUUGUGAAAGCAUUCCUUCCAAUUAAAAUAUUUCAAGGCCCAAUCGUCGGCCAGCUUCACAACAAGGAGGUUUUGUUACCGCCAUUUUCUAGAUGGUUUCAUUACAAUGAAUGAAGGAAUCCAUCCAUUCAUUGCAUUUCUCUAUCUCAAGAGUCGGGUUUAUCGAGUUCGAUAUGGUGAAAGUGGAUUUUGGUCUCUUUUCGAUUGCUUUACAAAGGGGAACAAAAAGAAAAGACCUAUACACCAAAAGUAAAAAGGGGAAAUCCCUUGAUCAGGUCUUGAAUGAGACUGAAGGUAAGGAGACCCCCCUAAUGAAAAAAGGGCUAAAAAGAAGUAAUUUCUUAUAUAAAGAUAUGGGUUUCCGGGUAUAGAUCGAAAUGGAAUCCCCGAAAACUAAGGCUGGAGUAUUAGACUUGUUCUGCUUCGAUAGAGGCACUGUAACCGUAAGUGGAAUAAUAAUUAUUCGGUCGAUUGCUCUUAUACUUCCUUUACUGACACAGAAGAGAGAGAGCACUCCCCAAGCCAAGGUGCCAAAAAAAAGAUGCGAAAGCUAGUCUAUCAGAAGGAGAAAGCGAGGGAGUGAGAUUUUAGGUUUCAUUAGGGUAGACUGAAGACCAAGCCAAUCUCGAAACUUAAAGAAAAACUUAUUGGAACUACAAACGUGAAUAGAUACUUUCUCAUUAGACUAUUUUAACCAAUUAUUUAUGUCGACCCUACACUAAGAUUCUUCUUCUCUUAUGAAAUUUCGAGUUAGAUGAACCCUGCUCUGCUGCAUGACGGAGUGAUCUUUUCGUCUUAUGAAAUCCGGUAGGGAGUUCGGAUCUAUGUUCAAAGGAGGGGGUCUAUUAGCAGAGCAUCAAUAAUCGGGUUCUUGCCUUGCAUUGGUUUUCAUUUUGCACUAUCCGGUCACUGGUUUGAAGUUAGUGCUCCGUGAGUGUAUAGCGAACCUAAUGUUCUUAUUUACUUGUUGGACAGGUUUGAGUGUGGAUGGCAAGUGAGUGCCGGCUUUUCAAAGAGAUAUUUGGAUCCAUCUUUGUCAACAGGAGAAGGGAAUAGGCCUUGAGGGUAAUGUCAGAGCCUCUGCCUAGCCCACACCAAGGCUACUAAUAAUGGGAUAAGACCUUACUACUAUAUAGGAUAUGUUACCUUCUCUCCAGUGAGUGCAGUGAAGGACUCUCACCUCACCCGCCCGUUUGACUUAUGGCAUCAUCAACUUGCUUUUCAAUCAAAGAGAUUUCAUAACCAUAAAUAAAGAUCUCUCUUUCGGGACAUACUUGAGAGGCAUUUUUGAUUCCUCUUUAAUGAUCUGGAAUUUCUGCGAGGAGCUCUGUUCGAGAGGAAGCACUGGCUCUUAUCGAAAUUGACCUUUUGGCCAUUACAACAUUACAAUCAGCUUCUUCCUUCUUUCCAAAAAGAUUUUCUGCUUCUUAAGAUUCCGUUUAUGGCUAUUAUAUAAUAUUAGAACAUCGUUAUCAAAGAGAAAGUAGGAGAGUGCUGGGCAUGAUCUUGAAGCAUGGUAAGUUGUUAUCAUUUUCAAUGAUACCAUUAGCACUUCUUCAGCAAAAAUCAACAGGCUAGGUUUUGGACCCUUGUCGCAGCCCUCGAGAAGCUGGAAAGUACCCAUGUGGCACACCAUCCACAAGCACUCCAAAGUCUUUAUUACAUAAAAAUCCAUGUAUCAAAUUCCGCCAUUUCUCACAAAAGACCAUUCGAUCCAAAAAGAUGCUUUUGCCAUAUCCUGACUUUCUUUUGACCCUCCUCCCUCCUAUGCUGUCUUUAGGUUCAAAUCCCCUAUCACUUAAAUCUACCUCACGAGCCAAGGAGAUCUUCUCUACUUAGACCUUUAACAAAAGCGCCCCUUUUUUCCUUAACUAUUUUUAUAGGGAGAAUCAAACAAAUUCUUCAAGCUAGAGAGAAUUUUUGAGAUUUACAAAGCUCUCCUUCAAAUAUCCCAUAAAUAAAGGUAGGUCAGAAUUGGUGAAAGAAGGACUUUAGACUUUCGGAAUAAGGGCAAUGAAAUUUUUUGGUUUUUUGAUUUUGUAUCUUUUCUAUUUCAUUUUUAAAUUUAAAUUUUUGCAUCAGAAUUGGCUUCUGUUUGAUUGUAUUCACCCGACAGAAUCUAAAUAGGAUUAGAAAGAGAACUUCUUUUUAUUAUUCGAACGUACUAACUAGUCGUACUAACUAGUUAUGAAAUCGGAUUGAUAUCUUCCACCCGUGUUCUAGCUCGUUGGAGAGCUAGAUUUGCCUUAAUUUUUUGUCUCCUUCCUUCAGCCUUUUUUACAUUAGCUUCUGCUAUUUCAAGAGUUUGCUGAGCUUCUUGUGGAUCAAUGUCACUACCCUUCUCCGCAUCAUUUACUAAAACAGUGAUCUCAUUAUUGACUAUUCUAGCAAAACCACCCAUUAGAGCCAUCGAUAACCAUUGGUUGUUAAGGCGUAUUUGCAAAAUCCCUAUAUCUACAGUUGUGGCAAUAGGGGCGUGAUUUGGUAAUAUGCCAAUUUGAACACUAUUAGUAGAUAACAUGAUUUAUUCCACUUCUGAAUCCCAAAUAAUUCGAUUAGGAAUCAGUACACUAAGAUUUAAGGUCAUUUCUUCAAAUUGCUCUCCAUUUCUAAGUUCAUAGCCUUCGCGAUAGCUUCAUCGAUAUUACCUACCAAAUAAAAGGCCUCUUCAGGGAGACCAUCUAAUUCUCCAGAAAGGAUCAAUUGAAAUCCUCGAAUUGUUUUUGCUAGACCAACAUAUUUCCCUAGAGAACCAGUAAUACUUCUGCUACGAAAAAGGGUUGUGAUAAGAAACGCUCAAUUUCUCAUGCUCUUGCUACGAGUAAAUGAUCCUCUUUGGAUAAUUCGUCCAAUCCAAGGAUAGCUAUAAUGUCCUAAAGUUUUUUGGGCAGUUUCGUAAUGUUCCUCAUCAACGAUCCAAGGUUGAAGCAUGGUUGACGUUGAAUCUAAAGGAUCUACUGCUGGAUAAAUACCUUUGGUAGCCAAUCCUCUUGAUAGUACGGUAGUAGCAUCUAAAUGUACAAAUGUCGUAGCAGGAGCAGGGUCGGUCAAAUCGUUUGCGGGUACAUAAACUUCUUGAAUAGAGGUUAUGGACCCUUCUUUGGUAGAAGUAAUUCUUUCUUGUAAAGAACCCAUUUCAGUACUUUGGGUCGGUUGAUAACCCACAGCGGAAGGCAUUCUACCCAAUAAGGACGAUACUUCGGAUCCUGCUUGGACGAAAUGGAAAAUAUUGUUAAUAAAUAGAAGUACGUCUUGCUCAUUGACAUCUCGAAGAUAUUCUGCCAUAGUUAGGGCAGUCAAACCAACUCUCAUACGAGCUCCUGGUGGUUCAUUCAUCUGACCGUAAACUAGGGCCACUUUUGAUUCUACAAUAUUUUCUUCAUUAAUCACUCCAGAUUCUUUCAUUUCCAUGUAAAGAUCAUUUCCUUCCCGAGUACGUUCACCCACUCCGCCAAAUACGGAUACACCCCCGUGAGCUUUAGCAGUAUUGUUAAUCAAUUCCAUAAUGAGUACUAUUUUACCCACUCCAGCUCCCCCGAAUAGUCCGAUUUUUCCUCCAUAGCGAUAAGGGGCUAAAAGAUCUACUACUUUAAUUCCUGUUUCAAAAAUAGAUAAUUUUGUAUCCAGUUGUAUAAAGGCGGGCGCAGAUCUAUGUAUAGGAGACGUUGUACUGGUAUCUACAGGCCCUAAAUUAUCAAUAGGCCCUCCGAGCACGUUAAAAAUUCAUCCCAGAGUCGUUCCCCUGACCGGAACACUUAUAGGAGCUCCUGUGUCAAUUACUUCCAUUCCUCUCGUUAAACCGUCUGUAGCACUCAUAGCUACAACUCUAACUCGAUUAUUUCCUAAUAAUUGUUGUACCUCACAAGCCACAUUAAUUGUUUUACCAACACUAUCUCGACCUUGAAUUACGAGAGCGUUAUAAAUAUUUGGCAUCUUGCCCAGGGGAAAGGCUACAUCUAUUACCGGACCGAUGAUUUGGACGACACGCCCCAGGUUUUUUUUUUCAAGCGUGGAAACCCCAGAACCAUAAGUAUUAGGAUUGAUUCUCAUAAUAAUAAAAUAAAUAAAUAUGUCAAAAUGUUUUUUCAAAAAUUAUCGAAUUCAAAGUAAAUGUCCGCUAGCACGUCGAUCGGUUAAUUCAAUAAAAUGGGAAUUAGCACUCGAUUUCGUUGGCACCAUGCAAUUGAACCAAUUCAAUUGUUUACUUAUUCAAUGAGAUUGAGUUAAUUUGCAAGCUCACCCAACCUAUUUUAAUUUAAAAAUCUCAAGUGGAUGAAUCAGAAUCUUGAGAAAGUCUUUCAUUUGUCUAUCAUUAUAGACAAUCCCAUCCAUAUUAUCUAUUCUAUGGAAUUCGAACCUGAACUUUAUUUUAUAUUUCUAUUACGAUUCACUAUUUGGAUCUAAUGGGCUCCUCUUCUUAUUUUUCUUAUUUAUUUUUUAGUUAAAUUUCAGCAUAUUGAUUUAUGCCUAGCCUAUUCUUUUCUUUGCGUUUUUCUUUCUUUUUUAUACCUUUCAUAGCGGAAUUCCAUAUAUUUUCACAUUUAGGAUUUACAUAUACAACAUAUACCACUGUCAAGGGGGAAGUUCUUAUUAUUUAGUUUAGUUAGGUAUUUCCAUUUCAAAAAAAAAAAGGUAAAAAAUAAAAAUUGGGUUGCGCUAUAUAUAUGAAAGAGUAUACAAUAAUGAUGUAUUUGGCAAAUCAAAUACCAUGGUCUAAUAAUCAACCAUUCUGAUUAAUUGAUAAUAUUAGUAUUAGUUGGAAAUUUUCUGAAAGAUUCCUGUGAAAAGUUUCAUUAACGCGUAAUUCGUGUCGAGUAGACCUUGUUGUUGUGAGAAUUCUUAAUUCAUGAGUUGUAGGGAGGGAUUUAUGUCACCACAAACAGAGACUAAAGAAAGUGUUGGAUUCAAAGAUGGUGUUAAAGAGUACAAAUUGACUUAUUAUACUCUUGAGUACCAAACCAAGGAUACUGAUAUAUUGGUAGCAUUCUGAGUAACUCCUCAACCUGGAGUUCCACCUGAAGAAGCAGGGGCCGCGGUAGCUGCUGAAUCUUCGACUGGUACAUGGACAACUGUAUGGACCGAUGGACUUACCAUUCUUGAUCGCUACAAAGGGCGAUGCUACCACAUCAAGCGUUUUGUUGGAGAAAAAGAUCAAUAAAUUGCUUAUGUAGCAUAACCUUUAGACCUUUUUGAAGAAGGUUCCGUUACCAACAUAUUUACUUCCAUUGUAGGUAAUGUAUUUGGGUUCAAAGCCCUGUGCGCUCUACGUCUGGAAGAUCUGUGAGUCCCUACUGCUUAUAUUAAAACUUUCCAAGGUCCGCCUCAUGGGAUCCAAGUUGAAAGAGAUAAAUUGAACAAGUACGGUCGUCCCUUGUUGGGAUGUACUAUUAAACCUAAAUUGGGGUUAUCUGCUAAAAACUACGGUAGAGCUAUUUAUGAAUGUCUUCGCGGCAGACUUGAUUUUACCAAAGAUUAUGAGAAUGUGAACUCACAACCAUUUAUUCAUUGGAGAGAUCGUUUCUUAUUUUGUUCCGAAGCACUUUGUAAAGCACAGACUGAAACAGGUGAAAUCAAAGGGCAUUACUUGAAUGCUACUGCAGGUAUAUGCGAAGAAAUGAUGAAAAGAGUUGUAUUGUCUAGAGAAUUGGGCGUCCCAAUCGUAAUGCAUGACUACUUAAUGGGGGGAUUCACCGCAAAUACUAGCUUGGCUCAUUAUUGCCGAGAUAAUGGUCUACUUCUUUCACUACUUAUGCCUUAUAGCGUAGCGAUAAAAAUAAGCUUCUUCUGGGACCGGAACAUGGAGACCAAAAAGUUUUGACUUACUGCCACACCUUGCUUUUCCUUUAUUACUAUUACGUUCUGCCCUUACAUCGUAAAAGUAAGGGUUAAGCUAUAGAACUAGAUACGUAAGAGAAAGAGAGGAGAGCAGAACUUUACUUCUCUGCUGAGGCAUAAGCAAUAGCAAAAAAUCUCUAACGUUGUAGUUUAAGAGGUCCGCUGUCUAACAUCUUUCGUAUAUUGUUCAUGUUCGUUUCCAAGGUAGAUCAUUUUCUUUGCCUUGAAAGAUGUUGCGUAUAAAGAGAAAGAUAGCCAGUCCUCUUGGGCGGCCAAGAGUGUUAUGUAAAAAGGACCAAGGAGGAUCCUAUCCGUCAGGAGAAGGAGGAGGAGUAGGAGCUAGCCUUAGGGGUGGAAUCAAAGCGAAGAAAUUCAUUUAUGCCACGAUGAUCUAUAUGGAAGGGCAGUUUUGUUGAUGCAUUCCUCUUGAGAAUGAAGAAGAAGGGAAAUCUUCUUUUUAACAGGAAAAUUUGGUCACGUAGAUCUUCUAUUUCGCCCGAAUUCGUUGAUUGCUCCGUACGAAUUUACAAUGGAAAAACUCCUGUUCGUUGUAAGAUUACUGAAGUAAAGGUUGGUCAUAAAUUUGGAGAGUUUUCUUCUACACGAAAACGAAGACCUUCGAGAACAAAUAUUGGACCGGGAAGAAAAAGGGGGAAAAAGUAAAGUCUAAGCGCAUAUGGCACGAAAAGGAAAUCCAAUUUCAAUAAGACUUGAUCUGAAUCGUAGUUCAGAUUCAAGUUGGUAUAUUGAGGCCGACCACGAAAUUCACCGAAUGGGUCAGUCUUUUAGUUCUCCCAGAUUAGAAUAUCAAAAGAGGACGUUGCAGAUGCCCGGGGCGGACACGACUUCUUCUAAGGCUAGAAGACCAAUGGAAGACACCCAGGACUAUAGCAUGUCAUGAAAAAAGCACACUGGAUGGGCGUGCUUCGAAUGUGUCUCUGGGGCAUAGUUGAAUGUAGAUAUCAUGAACGCGAGGUGUAGGAUACCAGGUCGAGAAACCUGGGCAACCAUUCCCCUAUGUUCCAAUCGCUAGCGCAUCUAUGGCCCCGGCGCCCAGCUCAGCUAGAGAGGCCUCACCUGAUCUGAGAAGUGCUAAUUUGGUUCGGAUAGACUUCAUUCAAGAAUACCACCGCACCAGGAAUCAAUAAGAAAACAAGUGCUGACGUUUCAGAUCAGUGAAUAAACCGAAAGGAAAGGAAAGAAAAGACCUUUCUCCCUCAACGCCUAAAGCGCACUAUGCUCUGCUUUAAUAAAUGAGAGUUUUUGGUGGAACUGGUGAACCACACAAGCUAGUUAGAUACGUGGGACUGAGGGAUCGUAGUACCUAUUAGCGCGGUUACGCAGUGAAAGAGAAGGAGCCUAAAUUGACCUCCUUCUUUUUUUCUUUGAAAAAAGCAGUAAGGAGUAAGGAGAUUAAACUCUCAGAUGAGACUAAGCAGCUACCGACCGUUCCGAUGUGUCCUUGACCUAUUUUGAUGUUGACCAAAAACCUAUCUCUAAAGUGAAGCCUAGUUUAAGCUGUCAAACAAGUGAUGAUUGAAUGAAAGAAAAACCACUAGUAGGGAUAUGGAUGGAGUCUCGCUCAGUAAAGAGAGUUGUAGGAUUUGUAAAUCAGGAGAAGAGCAUCUCAAAGUAUGGGGCAAAGGAUGUUGCAUUUUGACUGUCUCCCUUGAUCCACCACAGGUUGGGUUUGAGAGCCGUGUGAUGGGUGACUAUCCAGCACAGUUCGGAGAGCACUUUCAGACUGCGCUGGUGAAUGGAAGCCCCCCCUAUCAAGCAAGAAGGAAGCGGAUCUUCCCACGGCGAAGUCACCAUUGACUCUAUUUAUUAUUAUGGUAAAUCAGUGUAUCAAGAUGUUAAUCUGAGAUCUUAUUUUGGUUCGAUACGUCCACCUAAGAGACUCACCUUUGGCUUCGUCUAGGUAGGUGUAUUAUUAUACAUUUUUCCAAAAUAACAUUCAUUAAUUUCUUUCUUCCCCGUCGACCACGAAGACUGAAACGACGCAAAAAAUCCAAACCAGUAAAGGAGAAAGGCCGGUGGGGGGGCAUUUGGGAAAGUUGGGCCGAUCGGGUGUCUUCAUUCAAGCGACAGUACAGAAGAAGAACUCAACAAAGUGAGAGGCCGGGGGGCAGGGAAAAGAGUCGAGUCGAUCAGGCUUGACGAUCAGGAGAAGCAAAACGAAGUCAGGAUUUGGCCAAAAAAAGAAAGGCUAUGGAUACCAUGACCGAUCACCAUCGAUAAAGAAGAAUCUUUCUAAAGCACUUCAUGUCAGCGGGCCUUCAAGCAUCCGAAAUAUGCCGGGAUUGAAAAUGACAUAGCGUUCCUGAUAGAAAAUGAUGACUCCUUCAGAAAAACAAACUUAUUCAAGUUCUUUUUCCCAAAGAAGUCCCGCUCCGACCGCCCAACGAGUCAUCUACUUAAAUGGACCCUCUCCGCAGUCCGCCCUUCCUUAAAUUAUUCGGCCAUGCAAUACUAAUUGAAUACAAAGAAGAAAAUGCAUUUCGACCCCGUCGUAGUUCUCAAUCAUUUCGUGGCACCGGGCGUGGCUGAACCAUCUACAAUUGGGGGAGCUAAUGCACAGGGAAGAAGCUUAGAUAAAAGAAUACGUUCUUGCAUCGCUUUUUUUGUAGAAAGCUCAACCAGCGAGAAAAAGUGUUUGGCCGAAGCCAAAAAGAGGGUGACCCACUUUAUUCGCCAAGCGAAUGAUCUUCGCUUCGCGGGAACAACAAAAACCACCAUCUCGCUCUUUCCUUUCUUCGGUGCUACCUUUUUUUUCCAAGGGAUGGGGUGUAUAAUAACCUUUUUUUUAGGAUGCCCGGGAACAACUCCUAGGUCAAUUAAGGAGAAAAUGUUGGAACCUCAUGGGUAAGGAUGAGGUAAUGGAAUUGAUAGAGAAAUUCAUAGACCUAAAUAAGAUAAGAGAAUUGAUAAGGGGAAUAGAGAUGAUGAUAGAGAUCAUAUUGAGAAACAGAAGAAUUUCGUAUGGGUACAACUAUUAUUUGAAUGAAGUGAAAAAAAUGCGAUCUUUGUUGUAGAAUAGAACAAACACUAAUACCUUAAUUGAAUCAUUUAAGAUCAAAUUUGUUUAUCAAAGCGCUUCUCCGAUUGCUCAAGACAUCUCUUUUCAACCAAGGAACAAAACAAGAUCAUUUCGUUCCAUUUUUAGUAAAAUAGUGAAGGAUAUUCCAUUAGUAAUGAAAAAAGGGGUGGAGGGGAUCUGUAUAUGUUGUUCAGGUCGAUUAGAAGGUGCAGAAAUAGCUAGAACUGAAUGCGGAAAGUAUGGAAAAACAUCUCGUAAUGUAUUUAACCAGAAAAUAUAUUAUGCUCCUGCGGAAGUAUCUACUCGUUACGGAAUCUCAAGUGUCAAAGUGUGGAUUUCAUAUAGUCAAAAAAAGGGGGGACAUUCUAUAUCCAAAACGUACGAAAUAUAGUAAAUAUCGUAAAGGCAGAUGUGGUAGGGGUUGUAAAUCGGUCGGUACACAACUUGGUUUUGGAAGAUAUGGCACUCAAAGUUAUAGAGCUGGUCGUCUUUCAUAUCGAGCCAUUGAAGCAGCGCGUCGUGCUAUAAUCGGACACUUCCAUCAUGCUAUACAAUUCUGAAGAAAUGGUAAGAUAUGGGUUAGAGUUCUCGUAGAUAUCCCUAUUACUGGGAAACCUACAGAAGUAAGAAUGGGAAGAGAAAAAGGAAAUCCUACGGGUUGGAUUGCUCGUGUGUCCAGGGUACAAAUUUUAUUUGAAAUAGAUGGUGUGAGUUUGUCAAAUGCUCGACAAGCCACUACAUUAGCGGCGCAUAAACUAUGUUCGUCAACCAAGUUUGUUCAGUGGUCGUAAGCUUAUUAAUCCGACCCAAAUUGGUACACGCCAAUUCCAUUUCUCCGGAUUGAAAGAGCCAUCAAUCACUAUGAUCUCUUUCGUCAAAAAAGAAAUUGCAUAAAUUCUGCCUUUUUUGAACCCAUGCUUUCCGUUGGUCAACAACCAACCAAAGUUCUCUAUACUUCUUCACUACUCGUACAGGGAAGGUGGAAGAAAUUCAGUCUCUCUUUUUUGGAGCAGAGCAGUCAAAGAAUGAACCAAACCAAAUGAUUGUUCUAGAAUGGCUAUUCCUCACAAUUGAUCCUUGUGAUGUAACGGAACUAUGGCAAUUAGGAUCUCAAGAUGCAGCAACACCUAUAAUGCAAGAAACAACGACUUACAUCACGAUGUCCUUUUCUUCGUUAUUCUAAUUUUGGUUUUCAUAUCAUGGAUCUUGGGUCACGCUUUAUGGCAUUUCCACUAUAAAAAAAUCCAAUCUCGCAAAGGAUUGUUCAUGGAACUACUAUCGAGAUUCUUCGGACCAUAUUUCCUAGUAUCAUCCCUAUGUUCAUUGCUAUACCAUCAUUUGCUCUGUUAUACUCAAUGGACGAGGUAGUAGUAGAUCCAGCCAUUACUAUAAAAGCUAUUGGACAUCAAUGGUAUUGGAGUGCGCCUCUUUACGAGGGUGAUUAAAGUGCAACAAAAUACCUUAAAGUUGAAUAUGGUUCAUGAAGCAUCUGGCUUACCGGUAAUCUCCCAUUCCCGCCAUCGAGAGACUUUAAUAACUAUAGCAUGCCAGAAAUGGGGAGUUGAGGUGGUUAGACCUAUACCCCGAAAUGCUCCCAGCAUAGGAGACUAUGGUUCCAUUGUUGUUGUUGCUGGAGGUACACAUCCCUUUUCUCGGUGUGGAACGAUAUACAAGAAAUAGAUGCUCAGCCUGCAAUGUCUGAUAACGGCGCUGAAGUAGUGAAUCUAUCAGUACCAUAGCAGUGGUAUACAACUUUAGACCUAAUGGCCGGCCUAGUAACCUUUCGGAAUGGGGGAUCCCUGUUGGCAACAACUACGGUAGUAGUUGCGGAACUACUGGGCUAGGAGAGUAGCGGAAAGCCACUUGACUGGUUGGAGAGGACAACCUUUUGUUCCUGCUUCUCUUUCUUCGCUUCGAGGAUGGAGGUCCUACGGUAGGUAAUAGCAGGCACAAGUAAGUUGACCGAAGGGGACCAACGCUUCUACUCCUCCACCGAGGAGCCGUUCUUGCAAGAAGAAAGGGAUUUUGUGAACGGUGGGAGGUCAUAGAGAAUUGACCUAUUCAUAGAGUGAUCCUAUGAUCGAUACAGGAUAUAGACUAUCUCAUUCUUUAUUCUAUUCUAUUUCUAAAAAAAAGAAGGGUGACUCAACUUCUCAGCUAGAGUUGGUGGUGGGACCUGUUGGCAUAAUGCACACUGGAACAUGGGAAUUCGAGGUUGGGAGAACUACCUAACUAAAGAAAAAUAGUGUUCUUUCUAAGUGUAGGCGUGGAGAGCUCUUUGCGGGGAAACUUGCAAGUACAAUUUGGAGGGAGGCGGGCGUCGACCCUACCUUAUGAGUAUUUAGACUAUAACAGUUCCAAUGAAUAGUCACUCACUUUUGACAAUUAUACGAUUCCAGAAGAUGAUCUAGAAUUGGGUCAAUCAUGUUUAUUAGAAGUCGACAAUAGAGUGGUUCUACCAGCAAAGAGCCAUAUAUGUUUUAUUGUAACAUCUGCUGAUGUACCUCAUAGUUGGGUUGCACUUUCCUUAGGUGUCAAAUGUGAUGCUAUACUUGGUCGUUUAAAUCAGACCUCUAUUUUGGUACAACGGGAAAGAUUUUACUAUGGUCAGUACAGUGAGAUUUGUGGAACUAAUCAUGCCUUUAUGCCAAUCAUCGUAGAAGCUGUUCCUAAGAAAGAUUAUGGGUCUCGGGUAUCCAAUCAAUUAAUCCCAUAAAGUGCGGAAGCUUAAGCGGAAAUGAAAGGGGAGGUUGAGGGAAGCCACUAAAUUGAGGGCUUUACUCGCUCGCUCUAACAAUCAUUUAGUAGACAGCGAGUGGAGUGCAUAAGCCCCUUUAGAGAUAGGGGUGAGUACUACAUGAGCUCGUAAGUAAAGUACAGAACGAGCCUUGUCUAUGAAGCAGAGCGACCUUAUCUUGCUUGCUUCUGGCGAAGCUUCUAUCUCUAAAUAAUAGGAAUUCAGGUAUGGCAGGAAUACUGUCGACUGUUACGAGUGAUAGCGAAGCCAAGCUAUAUAAAGGAGAUCAUCCCUUAUAGCAAUAGCAAACGGCCUACUUAUAGCCUAUCAACAGGUCAGUCAAUAUCAGUAGGGGUCCUCUUGCCUAACGGAGUCAGCCCAACAUGGACAAUGAUAGGCAUACCAAAGAUUUACACAGUCCUUGCGUGCUUGCUUUCCGCAUCGGCAUAGCUGAAUUCGAAUCUGCUGGCUCAGAUGAGUGGCUAUUGGCUUUGUAAACAUAUCUAUGUUCUUGCAUUUUCACUACCAAUGAGUAGGCAACUUUGGAUGCUUACGGAGAUAUGGCUUUGGUAAAGAUCUGAUUAGCGUAUGCUUUCUCGGGUGCUACUUAGAAUAGAGAUAGUCAGACUCUAACUUGAGAAUGUUAUAGCACUGUGAAAUAAGGACAUUCUGAUCUACCUAAUUGGCUCUUAUUCUGGUUUGGUGGAAAGGUGAAAAGCACAAAAUCUUUCUUCCUGGUUGGUGUACUAGGGUGAUAUAAUCCCAACCCCUUCGUUAGCUAGCUUAGCUUUCCCACUUUUCAAUCUAUAUCAGAUCAUCCUUAGCUUUCCUUUAGCUGCUACUUUUUCCCAGUCCACACACAAUCAGAGUAGUCAGUGUGCCUGCUCUGUCCUUCUUUGACGAAAUGGAUGCUGUAGGAGAGGUUGGGAAGGAGGUACUUUGCUAAAGAGGUUCUGUCUGUGCGCGAGGAAGGUCUUUUUUCUUUCUCCUUCCAUUGCUUGACUAGGUUCGCUUUGCAAGAAAGGGAAGGCAUCUGUGCAGGUAGAAAAAGGCAUAGGUCAAGCUAUGGGCACAAGGAAGUAAGGUAUAGUAAGUUACUUCUUCAUCUUUUGCUUGUCAUUGGAUUGGAAACCGCAGGCUAUGCCUUCUUGCUUGUGUAGUUGGCCUUGCCUGCUUAGUGCGGAAGUGUGUAAAGUAGGCUCAUUCUUUGGUUUAUAAAGAUCUUGUAGUAGCCGAAGGUAGUUCGCUUGUUAGAUUGAAUUGAAUCUUAUAUAACAACACAACCGGGGCCUUAUUAAUUUAGAGACUUUAUCAAUAGUAUAAAUGGACCUCUCAAAGGUAUAAGUAGACAUUAGUCAUGCUGGUUCGGGCGGUAAGGCCCUGGGUAAGCUCGGGUUAGCCUGUCAGGGUGAAUGCAGGUAGUGGAUGUAGCUUUUCUUCUGAAGCGUCUUAGUUCGUAGCUGCUGAAGUAUAGCAUUGAGGUGAGGAGCGUGCUAGCUAGGUGGAGUCUCCUUUCGGAACUACUUAUUUUCCUUUCUUUCUUUGCUAUCCCAUCCACUGAACUGUCAGUAUCGAGGCAAGUUCGGAAUGUUGUCUAAGCGUAGACUAGUCUGUUCAGGCAGUCACAGGCUUGAUAAAGCUAAAAAUGGAACAACACUUCUCACUGAUUACAUCAGAAGCGAAAUCCUCAACUUCAAAUACAAUGCGAGCUGGAACGGGGUUGCCUUAGCUACUGUGGUGUACAUAUGCCAGGAAUUGCACCAUAGCCCGAGUCGAUUGAGGGCUAGAUCUUGAUUUAGAAAGGAGCUCUCAAGCUGAGGUGGAGAAGAAAGCUUACGAUUCUAUUGGUGUGAAGUGAGCUCUAACAAUCACAACGGCUAAAGGAGCUUGCUUUGGUGACCCUACGAGGAACUUUUGCUCAUUAAAGUCAGCUUCAAACUUUCAGUAACUACUUAUCCCAAGUUAGGUGGGCUUAGAUAAAAAUAUAGGCAUCUUUUGUCUAUAUCAAUCCUUCGAUAAAGCACUCAAACCAACGAGUAAGGAAAGGAGGCCUUGAGUUGAUAUUUAAAAGAAGGAGUUCGUCCUGGUGUGCUACUUCCUUUCCUACCAAUACUUUUUGAGUAGAAACUUCUCUUUGGUUUAAUUCAUAUUCAACUUUCUCUAGCGGAAUUAGACUUUCAUUUCUAUUUCUUCAAAUCCAGCAUGACAUGUGUCAAGAAUCAAAGAAAAGUUCGAAAAUUGGCGAAUUCAAUGUUUCCAUAUCCCUCCGGGCAGGAAAUCAUAUAUUGAAUAGAGGGUACUCCACCUCUGUAGAGGAUAAAACACAUUGAAAUAAAGGAAUUGGUGGAUCUCUCCCAUCAGACAGAUCAACGGCACCAGGCAUGGGAUACACAGGCAGGAGAGCCGAUUUGAUCGAGCAGACCAAAUGAGCAAAAUUUUUUUAACGUGAAAGCCUUGUGCCAACUUGCGUACAAGAUUUAUAUGUGGAUUUGAUACUAUAGUCAAACCCUCUUCAUAAUUCCUUUCUUAUAAGAUAUUGAAGGUCUAUUGGCUUUCUUGCUUAUGCGGUACUUCGAAGGCUAAGCCUCGUUUAUGCACCGAGAAAGAUCAUCGGUCGGAAAGCUCUGUUAUAUACCAACGACGGCCCCUUCUCUUUACCUUUCCCAUGCCCUACCUCAUUCCUUUGCUGGCUUGAAUUCCAUCUCUUUUCUUCUUUGUUUGUGAGAGUUACUCAUAGGACGACACACCCGUAGACCAAGACUUAAACAGAUAGAAUCGUACUACCGCUGUCGAUGCCGGUGCUGCUUGCCGACAGCCCUUCGCUUACUUCUCUGGAGUCAACAAUGCCGCUUUUUCCAUCACGGAAACUGCUCACUGUGCCCGGGUCAAGGAGAUUCGAUUUGCUUGGUUGGGUUCUUUGCUUGCUUAUUCCACUUCUUAAUCAUCCUUCAUUUCACUAAUUCGUAUUAACAUGGACCUAAGAUGAAUUAGAUAGGUUUUACACUUUUCUCAAAGAAAGAGGAAAUAGCAAAGAAUUAUUCGGCGUGUAGUGAACUGCCAGAUAGAUCAGUACAACUAGGGAUGUCGUUGAAACUCGAGCAAAGGCUUCGAAUUCUGCGAAUUGCGCUAGUUAGAAUUUUCAUUUACUAGCUACUUGUUUUAUGGCUUUUAUUUGAGCUGCAGACCCCACUCUGGAAAGGGAGAUACCCAUAUUAAUAGCAGGUCUGAUUCCAGAAUUGAAUAGGUUGGCGGAUAAGAAGAUUUGUUCAUCAGUAAUGGAAAUUACAUUAGUAGGAAUAUAAGCCGAAACAUCUCCCGAUUGAGUUUCAAAUAUUGGUACGGAGGUCAUACUUCCUUCACCUAAACUCGAACUAAAUUUAGCGGCUCUUUCCAAAAGGCGUGAAUGCAAAUAAAAAACAUCUCCUGGAUAAGCUUCACGACCGGGCGGUCUUCGUAAUAGAAGAGACAUUUGGCGAUAAGCUUGCGCUUGUUUGGAGAGAUCAUCAUAAAUGAUUAAAGUGUGUCAUUCACGAUACAAAAAAUAUUCAGCCAGAGCUGCUCCUGUAUAAGGAGCAAGGUAUUGUAAUGUAGCAGGGGAAUCCGCCGUUUUGGCUACCACAAUAGUGUAUUCCAUCGCUUUCCUUUCCUGUAAAGUCGUUACUACCUGGGCCACAGAAGACGCUUUUUGCCCAAUAGCUACAUAAACAUAUAAAUCAUUUUGACCUUGUUGAUUGAGAAUGGUGUCUGUGGCUACUACUGUUUUACCGGUCUGUCUGUCCCCAAUAAUGAAUUCUCACUGACCACGUCCUAUAGCGAUCAUUGAAUCAAUAGUAAUAAGCCUAGUUUGAAGAGGCUCAUAUACAGAACGACGUGAAAUAAUACCCAGGGUGGAAGAUUCAAUUAAUCGAAAUUCAGAAUCUAAAAUUUCACCUCUACCAUCAAUUGGUUUAGCCAGGGCAUUUACAACACAACCUAAAUAAGCCUCACUUACGGGUAUCUGAGCAAUUCUUCCCCUUGAUUUCGAGCCGGAGUUUGCUUGUUUUAGUCCAUACAAGGCCUUCCUGAUGAGACUUUGCUAUUCAUUCCAGAAGUUACUAUGCUUCGCACUCUCCUUGACAGAGAUAUUUCAACCUAUCUGAUCGUGACUUUGUUAACCCGCUUCGUCGCAUGAUAGAGAAAGGAAAAGCGACCCCAUGCCCUACCUUUGCUUAGUAAGAAAUUGGUGAAGGCAUCGGGAUUGGACUAAAACUAUGCCAUUCAAGAAGCGACUGAUCGAUGGAAAGCUUCAAACAACACCAUUGGUAAAUAUCCUAUAGUAGGGUCAGGGGCGUUAGCGAGAGCGUCUCUGAACCUGUUUUCCUCUUGUCUUUAGCUCAAGCAAUUUCUCUCUCUUCGAGUAACUUACAAUAAAUCUUUGGUAAUAGAAAAUGAGUCCUUAAAAUGAUCUUAGCUCACACACGUUGGUGGGUGCUUGCUACUCCUCGAUGGCUCUGAUGCCCAUCUAAUGCCCUAUUUCGAGGAUCUCCGUUUGUUUAAAUGAGCAUUUGUCUUUACAUAACAUAGAGGGGAUUUUUCUUUAAUACCUUAAAAAUGGUCCGAAGGUGGUGGAAGUGGUCGUUUAAUGAAUAUCUAUAGUCCACGAUUAAAGUAUACUACCAGUCGUCUAAGUACGGGUGGAAUAACUCAUUGUGGAGAGAGCAGAACGUGGCAGGGGUAUUGGUGAGUCCAAAAGGCAUAACCAGAUCAAACACCCCCGGUCAUUCUGGCAGCUUAAACUGAAAAUAGGAAAAGAUAUGAGAAUCAAAAGAAGUCUAUACCUGCAGAUGAAAGAGGAGCUUCUACGUGAACAUUUCACACAGUGCUUUCUCCUCCAACAGUUAAGUAACUAGCACUGGUUAUUCCAGAAAGAGCUCUUACUCUAACAGAACUAGGACCGUCAACUCCAAUUGUAGUAGCGGGAAUGUCAGAACCACUAGAUAUGGCAUUAAUAGCUUCUAUUACAUUGACGGUUGGAAAUGGAGAGCAUGCGCAGAAUAUAAUAGCUUGAACCGCUUAGGCUCUUUGCACCUAAAUAAAUAGUAGACACGCAAAAAAAUAAGACGUGAAACUUAUAGAGUCGUAUCCUUCUAAGACUUUCUUCUCCAACUCACUCAAUCGAUAGGUUGAGGCAAUCAAUUGGAAAUCGACCAAAAGGACCUGUCAAUCCUUAGAAGUCAAAGCAUGCAUCACAUAUCAUCAUGCAUAGCUUAUUAGCUGUAGUAGCUGCAUAGGAAACAUAAAACAUAUAGUACUUUUCUCCAUUGUCAUGCAUCAAAUGGUUGUCUCUCCUCUCUCAAAGUAGGCGAACUUCAUGGAAGAUCAAGAGAAGCGAGAACGGGAACUCCUAGAGCUGCUGGAGCGCCUAACCCGGCUGUUACCUCCUUCUACCGUCGCCCGCCUCUGAUCAGCAUUCCAAUACUCUGAAGCACACAUCAGAUAUGCAGAGUAGUAAUUGGCAUAUCCAUUCUCUCUCCACAAUGGCAAGCUCCUGGUUCACACCUAGAUCUGGCCGAAGAAUAGCAUAAGAAAGAUCUCGACGGCUCUGGGAAUAUACCACUCCCGAUACUCUUCCUUCGUCACCUCUAUCUCUAAAUCAACGGUUUGAUAUGAUGAAUUGAAUAUCAUUACCAAUGAUUACAAUUUCAUCAAUAUAUACUAAAAUAAAAAACAGAAUAGUUUCCACGUCGACGAGUAAAAAGGGACUGCCUGGGAUUAAAGAAAACCAGCAUCCACAGAAGCAAUUUGGCAAACCCAUUUUGGGACGCUUGUUUAAGUCCAUAAAGGGACUGAUUCAGGUGGAAAACUAAGUUCUCCCCCUGUGGAGAAUAUCCGUGAGGGAGAUACAUGUAUACUUCCUUUUUUGGAACAUGUUAAGGCUUUACGCUCUAACUCACCUUCACAACUCUAGGUGUCGUCGCGCCUAAGUUAUCAUUCUUUUUCCACUGUCUGAUUGCAGUAGGGGGUCACGUAGGAUGGUUAAGCCAGGAGAAGGACCGAUACUUUGCUUAGCCAACACAUCUUCACAUUACCUUCCCUCCAAAUAUGUCUCAAUUUAUAUCUCCAACCCCUUCUCAUUAGCUCUCUGAUUCUCAGGAUAAUAUUGAAAUAUGGAUCCUCAGGCCAGCCAUUGUGCAGCUUCUAUAUAGAAACCAGGGAGUCCAUCUCAACCUGAAUGAGUCUACAACUCUCCUUCUAGAAGCUAGUAGUUUGGUUAAAAAGAGAUAAUCAGAAGAAAAUGUUCGGGCAGGGAUGCACAACAGGAACUUGCAAAGCCAACAGAAGAGAAAAGAAAUAUGUUCACCCUCGGCAAUACGCACUUGAUAAUAUCCCAAAAAUCCUUUUUCAUUGCUCUCAGCGCAUCAAUUCGAAUAGUGUUGUUUAAAAAUCUUAAUCAGCUUUAAGGUAAAGAUGAAAUUCAAGCUCAUAAGAAGCUCUUGUCACCAACUACAUCGAAAAAUAGAAGAAAAUUUGAAUUGGACGUAGAUAGCCUUUUUCAUCUUUUCUGAUUUUGAUAGGCAUCCCACCCUCACCUCAAGAUGAGAGGACUUCUUUGAGCCCUAAGAUUUAUUCCCUUCGCAAGUGACCUGAAAGCAGGGAAGGCACUUUAAGAAGGUGCCAGUUGACUUCUAGUUGUAGCGGAUCUUACAUCGGUUCUAGCACUUUCUCUUGAUUCUAUUUUUGAAAGAUCUUUCCUUGCUCUGAGGAAUGCCCGAUUUAACCAGAAUCAUCUCGUUAUCUUUUAGAGUCAUCUCGAGAUCUUUGGCUUACGCCAUGUGCUCCAAACUUGAACUCAACUUCCUUUUUUCACCAACAUUUGCUUCUCACUCAAGAAACUGGUGAAAGUCUUUUCCCUUUGCUGCAGCUUUCACAGUCCCACUCCUCCUCAGACCAGACUGGGCUGCAUUGCCAUACCUUCAUACCUUCACCCCGAUGUCCUAUCUUAAGGUUCCCCCGAGCUACGUUAUUAAAGAGGACUUUUGCUCAUCGUCUGCGUCUUUAGUCAAAAGCUGUUUCUUUUAUGAUUCCUUCUCUCACUUCUUGAAGAAUUUAUUUUUCAUUCAAUAGAGUCUCUCCUAUAAGAGAAGGAGCUUUCUUCACCCCUACGUACGAUAGGCCCUUCUUCAAUGAGUGCCCUUUCCCCAGCCUCUAAUCGUCUUAGAAGAGAAGACUAAGCUCAGACAAAUUAUAGUUCGCCUCGGCCCCUCCUUAGUGACUUUGGUCAGGAAAGGGAAUAGGGCAAUAAAUAGAGCUUCAGCUCAGAAUUAUACCUUCAGUAGAUGGAACUUCAGACUUCUAGAUAGGCCUGAGAAAGCCUAGACCAAAGGUGCCUAAUAGCCUAUCCAAACUCAUCGGGUAGGGAAUCCCAUCCUCAGUGAAGCCAGUAAGCAAGCCCAAGUCCACAUAAGAAGGCCCGCUGGAUCUAUCCAAAUUCAAAGCCUAUAGAGAUGAAGGCCAAAGCAUUGACUGAAGAGGGGGGCAAAGAGAUAUUAGCCUUUGACUUCUUCUCUGCCUACUGACUGCUACUCGGCUAGAUGCUCCUAUUUCUUAUUCAUAGAUCGUAGAUUAAGAUGUUAUUAGGUAAGGAAAUUCAGUCCUUUCAUUCCUUUCUGAGAAUAGAUCCCCAAUAGCUCAUAGAUAAGGAAUUCUUCCGCUACGACCCUUAGGCGAGCUAAUCAGUCUUGCUUUGCCAAAAAAUCCCUCUUCACUCCCCCUUUUUUAAUAAAUAAGCCUCGCAGGCCCCUCACUGACAAGGAAGGAAACAAAAUAAUCUCAAUUUUAUGACAAAUCCGGUCUGAUGGAUUUUCUCCACUAACCACAAGGAUAUAGGGACUCUUUAUUUCAUCUUCGGUGCCACUGCUGAAGUGAUGGGAUCAUGCUUCUCAGUACUGAUUCGUAUGGAUUUAGCACGACUCAGCGAUCAAAUUCUUGGUUGGAAUCAUCAACUUUAUAAUCUUUUAAUAACGGCUUAUGCUUUUUUAAUGAUCUUUUUUAUGGUUAUGCCGGCGAUGAUAGGUGAAUCUGGUAAUUGGUCUGUUCCAAUUCUGAUAGGUGCGCCUGACAUGGAAUUUCCAUGAUUAAAUAAUAUUUCAUUCUAGUUGUUGCCUCCAAGUCUCUUGCUCCUAUUAAGCUCAGCCUUAGUAGAAGUGGGUAGCGGCACUAGGUGGACGAUCUAUCCAUCCUUAAGUGGUAUUACCAGCCAUUCUGGAGGAGCAGUUGAUUUAGCAAUUUCUAGUCUUCAUCUAUCUGGUGUUUCAUCCAUUUUAGGUUCUAUUAAUUUUAUAACAACUAUAUUCAACAUGCGUGGGCCUGGAAUGACUAUGCACAGAUCAUCUCUAUUUGUGUGGUCCAUUCUAGUAACAGCAUUCCCACUUUUAUUAUCACUUUCGGUACUAGCAGGGGCAAUUACUAUGUUAUUAACCAAUCGAAACUUUAAUACAACCUUUUCUGAUCCCGCUGGAGGGGGAGACCCCAUAUUAUACCAGCAUCUCUUUUGUUUCUUCGGUCAUCCAGAGGUGUAUAUUCCCAUUCUGCCUGGAUCUGAUAUCAUAAGUCAUAUCGUUUUGACGUUUUUGGGAAAACGGAUUUUUGGGUAUCUAGGCAUGGUUUAUGCUAUGAUCAGUAUAGGUGUUCUUGGAUUUCUUGUUUGGGCUUAUCAUAUGUUUACUGUGGGCUUAGACGUUGAUACCCGUGACUACUUCACCGCAGCUACCAUGAUCAUAGCUAUCCCCACUGGAAUCAAAAUCUUUAGUUGGAUCCCUACCAUAUGGGGGAGUUCGAUACAAUACAAAAUACCCAUGUUAUUUGUUGUAGGUUUCAUCAUUUUAUUCACCAUAGGAGGACUCACUGGAUAGUUCUGGCAAUUCUAGGCUAGACAUUGCUCUACAUGAUACUUAUUAUGUCAUUGCACAUUUCCAUUAUGUACUUUCUAUGGGAGCCGUUUUUGCUUUAUUUGUAGGAUUUCACUAUUGGGUAGGUAAAAUCUUUGGUCGGACAUACCCUGAAACUUUAGGUCAAAUCCAUUUUUGGAUCACUUUUUUCGAGGUUAAUAUGAUCUUUUUUCCUAUGCAUUUCUUAGGGCUUUUAGGUAUGCCACGUCGCAUUCCAGAUUAUCCAGAUGCUUACGCUAGAUGGAAUGCCCUUAGCAGUUUUGGCUCUUAUAUAUCCAUAGUUGGGAUUUGUCGUUUCUUCGUGGUCGUAACAAUCACUUCAAGCAGUGGAAAGAACAAAAGAUGUGCUCCAAGUCCUUAGGCUGUUGAACAAAAUCUAACUACACCGGAAUGUAUGGUACAAAGUCCUCCAGCCUUUCAUACAUUUGGAGAACUUCCAGCUAUCAAGGAGACGAAAAGCUAUGUGAAGUAAAAGAAGAAAGGGUCGCCGAUUGCUACUAAGAACCUAACA
rnacentral:lncRNA from 1 species